rnacentral:lncRNA from 1 species
UUCGAAUCCCCCUAUAUGGAUUUAUUUCCAUUAGAUUAAUUUAGAAUAAGUAAAACAAGCAAUCACAAAUUCCAAAGUAACAAUGAAAAAUCUUAAAGAAAUAUUAGAAUGAUUACAAACAUAUUUCAAAUACAUCUCAAUUUAAUCCUAGUUGAAAUCUUACUUCAUUCAAACUUUAUGCCAAAAACUAACUAAAUCUUAAAUCCUUAACAAACUCAAAUAAAAUCCUAAAUCCUAAAUCAAAUCCUGAUCAAAUCCUAACCAAAUCCUAAAUCUUAAUCCUAAAUCAAAUCUUAAUCCUAAUUCUAAAUCCUAAACCAAAUCCUAACCAAAUCCUAAUCUUAAAUCAAGUCCUAAUCAAAUCUUAAUCCUAAAUCCUAAAGCAAAUCCUAAUCCUAAAUCAAACCCUAACUAAAUCCUAAAUCUUAACCCUAAAUCAAAUCCAAACCAAAUCCUAAUCCUAAUCCUAAAUACUAAACCAAACCUUAACCAAAUCCUAAUCCUAAAUCAAAUCCUAACUAAAUGUUAAUCCUAAAUCAAAUCCUAACCAAAUCCAAAACCCUAAAUCAAACUCUAAAUCAAAUCCUAACCAAAUCUUAAUGCUAAAUCAAAUCGUAACCAAAUUCUAAUAAUUUCUACAACAAAAUUAAACCUCAAUAACUAAUGAAUGAAUUGUUGAUCUUAACUCAAAUUUUGUACUCUUCUUAAAAACUAAGUUGAAAACGAGCACAAAAUUUUUUAAAAAGAUCGGAAUUAUCAAAUAGACGAUAACUUCAAAAACAUGCUCGGGUGUUGCUCAGCCUCCUUCUCCAACCUUGAUGUCAAUGUCCCAGAGCCAAUAUCUCUCAUUUUUAAAAUUCGAUUGAUCUCAAAAUUUUCAUACACAUAGAAAAAUAAGUUUAAUAUCCUUUGACAUAAAUUUUACUCCAAUCCAACUAGUAGAUUGCAAGAAAUCUUUAAAACCCUCACUAGACCUAAAAUUCUACUUUCUGAGACCUUGACUCAUUUAAACCUCAAUAAUCCUUAAUUCAACUAUUAGAUCGAGCUAAGAUUCAUAAUCCAUAUUAAACACAACUAUGACCAUUAACCUACAAAAUUUCACCCAUAGAUCUAUAAUAAAACUCUCAAAGUCACUAGAAACAUCAAUCCUAUUUUAUUUCACAAAACUUAAGUCAUCUAAAAAUAAUCUUGAUUUUGUAAAGCUCUUACAAAGUCGUAACAACUUUCAAUUAUCCAAAUCUAAUGCUUAUAAAAAUUUUAUUCAAUUUUCGAUCAAACUCCACUCUUUGAUGUGCCAAAGAACCUCGGAGUCGUCGUCGAGACUCAGUUUUGUGCCUUAGGGUCUGAUUUCGACCCUGGUUCAUAACUAGUGCCUUCUAGGUAUUAAUAUCUAGUUUUUCUAACUAAAUUUUGCUAGAAUUUAUUCUUAACUUUCUUUUACAAGAUGCCUAUAUUAUUCAUUUUUCCAAUCUACUUUAUUUUGUUUUAUUUAUGGUUCUACAAAGUAAGUAGAAGUCACCUUUCUAAAAGGCAGCAUUGGUACCUUUUAAUUUUACUACCCUUUUGACUAUUAAUUAUAUUUCUAAUAUAAUUUGCUCUAAUACUUUGAACUAAGAUCUUCUACAUUAUAAUAAUUUCUACACUCUUUCACCUAUUAGUCAUGUUAUAUCAUGACAAUGCAUUGAUCUUUUGUUAUUCUUUAGCUUCUUUUAACUACGCCUUCAUUAUUGCAUGUAGCUUUGACAAACGAUUUGUGAAAUCUUUUGCCACAAGAUUAUCAGGUUUUAAAAAGUCAAAAGUAUCAAGUUGUAGAUGAUAACCAUAAUUGGCAAAAAAAGAUGUUUAUUUUAUAGAAGAAUAUACUAUAUUAAUAUAAGUAAACUAUGCUAAUGGCAAAAGAGUUGUCCAAUCAUCUUAUUGAUAGUAGAUGAUACAUCUUAAAUACUGUUUCAAGACUUCAUUAACAUGCUCCGUUUGUCUAUCAAUUUGUGGAUGGAAUACGGAAGAUAGUUUUAUAUCUACUUUUAGAAUCUUGAAAAGAGUCUACCAAAAUCUUGAUAUAAACUAAGUUCCUCUAUCUGAUAUAAUAUCCUUGGAUAAUUCAUGAUAGCAAUAGAUGUUGUCAAGAAAGAGUUUAGCUAUUUUUUUACCUAUGAUAGAUUUUGUACAUGGUACAAAAUAUGCCAUGUUAGUAAAACAAGCUACUAUUAUAAAUAUAGAGUCAUAAGAACUUGAGAUUGAAAGAUCCGUGAUGAAAUCCUUAGAAACAAAAGACCAUGGUUGUUCUGGAAUGGAUAAUGGUUGAAGAAAUCCGUAAGGUUGAUGACAUGGAGUUUUUGAUUUUGAACAAAUAUUGCAUGAUUGAACAAAGUCUUUCACAUCUUUUUACAUUUGUGGCCAUAGAAAAUCUCUAGAUAUAAUCUCCAAAAUCUUAUUGUAUCCAAAAUAUCAUGUUGCUGAAAAGUCGUGACAUGCUUAAAGAAUGCGUAAUCGUGCUUCUCUUUUUAGAACAUAUAAUUGACCUUCAAAAUAGAAUAGGUUGUUUCUGAACUCAAAUUUAGAAGUAUCUUAGAAUUUAGAUGAAAGAUUCUUAAUAUUGUAAAUAAGGAGAUCAAAAGAUAUACUUAAUUGGAUUUAUUUCAUAAGGAUUGAAUCAACAAUCAAUGUUGAUUUCAUUACUCGCAAAUAAAAAUACUAUGGCUUCAAGAAAAUUGUUCUUUGUUGAUCAAAAGAUGCAUCUUCUUUUUUUGGUAUACGAUAAGAACGUCUAGAAAGAGCAUUUGACAAACCUUGUUAUUUUUUAGGUUGAUUCAUGAUCUUGAAAGCAAAUCUUGAUAAAGACAUAUUCAAACAGGCUUGGCGGUAAUUCUAAAUAUAUCAUGAUAUGAAGUACUUGAGAUUCUUAUGGUCCAUAUACAUAGUAACUAGAUUGGAAGUACCUUCUAGAUGAUGACACAAUUCUUGAAAUGAAUCCACAAUUACAAGAAGCUCUUUCUUAUGGAUUUUAUAGUUAAUCUUGGUUAUUGAAAAUUUUCUAGAAUAAAAAGCUAUUGGAUAAAGUUUAUCAUUUAUUCCCAUUUGUGAUAAUAUGAUACCUAGAGCAAAUUUUGAUGCAUCUAUUUCCAUAAAAAAUACCUUAAAAAAGUCAAUACAAUACAAGAUUGGUGUAGAAAUAAACUCUGACUUCAAAGCUUCAAAAGAUGCUUUAGCUUCUUUGCUCCACUCAAGUUUGUCUUUGCAAGUCAAAUAUAUAAGUGGAGCUACAAUUUGAGAGAAGUCUUUGAUAAAGAUUCGUUAAUGAUUGACAAAGCCCAAAAAGUAUUAAACAUCUCUUAUUGUUUUUGAAAUCUUCUAAUCCAUAAUCUUUUGAACUUUUUUAGGAUCCAUCACAAGUUCAUCAUUUGAAAUGAUGUAUCCUAAGAAGUUGACAUGAGUAGUAAAGAAUAUACACUUUUUUAUAUUGGCUUAGAGUUCUGUAUCUCUUAAUUUUUGUAACAUAUGACAAACAUGAAGUUCAUAUUUAUUUGUGUUCUUAGAAUAGAUUAAGAUGUCGUCUAGAUAAUAAACAAAAAAAUUGUCCAAAAAUUCUCAAAAAAUAUCAUUCAUUAGAUGUUGAAAAGCUGUUGGUGUAUUUGUAAGUCCGAAAGGCAUGACAUUGUAUUCAAAAUAUCCAUACCUAGUUCAAAUUGUAGUCUUCCAUUCAUCUCUUUCUUUAAUACAUACUAGAUUGGAUGCUUCUUGUAGAUCCAUUUUUGUGUAGAUCUUAACUUGAUUCAAUUGAUCAAGAAGUCCGGAUAUCAAAAGUAGAGGGUACCUAUUCUUGAUGGUGAUCUUGUUGAGUCCUCAAUAAUCAACACACAUCUAUAAUGAUCCAUCUUUCUUCUUUUCUCAAAUAAGAUUGGAGCUCCUACUUGCAAUUGAGAAUGGCAUAUGAAAUUCUUGACCAGAUUUUCUUCAAUAUAUUCCUUGAAUUUAGCUAAUUUAUUUUGUGAUAAACUAUAGAUUAGUCCAAAUAGAAAUUAUGCUCCUUCUUGAAGGUCGAUUGAGCAAUCAUAGGAAUAAUGUUCUAGAAGAGUAUCUACAUUCUUCUUUUUGAAUACAUCUUAAAACUCUUCAUAUUGGCUUGGAAUGCCACUUAAAGUCUUUGCAUGAUUAGAAAUAGGUGUAGCAUAAAUUAUAUAAGGUGAUUCUUCUUUUGCAACAUGCAAGAAAGCUCUUUCACCUACAAACACAGGUUUUAUUGUCCUAUAUUUAUGACUUUUUACUGGAUUAAUUUCACUCUUAGUUAUAUUUUUAGAGAAGUGAGGAGUACAAGAAAUCCAAUCUAUAUAAGAAUUAUAAUUUUUUAACUACGAUAAAUCUAAAAUGAUUAGAUUAAAAGGAGAUUUAAUUAUAUUAAAAAUUAAGCAACUACCAUGAUCAUUUAUUGCUACAUCUAUAGGAAGUGUUUCAUUAAUAAUAUCUCUGGAAGAUAACAGAUGACCAUCUAUGACUUCUACAUGAACAUGUUUAGUUUUUUGUACUAACAAUAUUUUAUAAUUUUUAACAAAUUCUAUAUCUAAAAAAUAACCUGAGGCUCCUGAAUCUAUCAAGGUAGAGGCUUUAUAAUUAUUAGGUCCUAAAUGCACAUCUAUUAUAAAAUAAAGAGAGGAUUAUGAGAAGAAAACAAGACCUUCAUUAGAAAUUAUACAAGAUUCCAACUACACGAUCUCUAUUUUAGUUGGACAAAUUUUUUUCUGACACAUUGUCUUCUUUGACAGUUGCAUUCCUCAUUUUGUGGUUUUGUUACUUCUUUGGACAAUAUUGAGCAAUGUAUUUAGGUUCUCCAUAAUAUAAGCACAAUCCUUCUUGAUGGCAAUGAGUCUUUUCUUGCUCAAUAAGAAGUUUAAAAUAUAUCACAUCAAUUUGCAUAUCCUCUACUUUUGAAUGUAUGUAUUGACAAGAUAUUGGUGUUGCCAUCAAAUUGAAGUAAUGUUGAGGCCCACUUGUGUGACUUUCAAAUCAAAAUUCAAAAAGUCAAUUGUUGCACUUUAUAGCAAAGUCAAUUGCUUGACUAAAUAUUUGAGGAUUAAAUAAGUUGAGCAUCAAUUUUUUUACUUCAUAUUAUAAUCCAUAGAGAAAUUGGCUAAUAAGUACAGCAUCAUCUCACUUGAUAUCAAUUAAAAGUUGUCAAAAUUGUAAAAUAUAUAAUAUUAUAGAUUGAUUGCCUUGUUGUCUAAUAUGAAUCUUAUUGGUUGCAACAUAAGUUGCAUUAUGUUUUUUAUACAUAGACCAAAAUUUUGCUAAAAAUACCUUUAGAUUAUCUAAUAUUGGAUCUUAUUGUUCAAAAAAAGAUAAAAACUACAAUAGUGUUGAACCUGAAAGAAGUGUACUAAUGAAUCUAACUUAUUAUCCUAGAGUUGGAUAGCUUUGAGGUUGAAGUUCAAUCACAAGUUGGACUUGAUUGAUAAAUCUUUGAAUUUUGGAUCUUGUACCAUCAAACUUUUCAGAUAGGAUAAUUCUUGGUUCUCUAACAUUUGAAGGAUGUUCCACCAUGGAUAGAGGAACAUGAUUUGGUGCAGAUGUUGAGGCAAUUCUAAUCAUCUCUAUAUCUUCACUUCUUGCUAUUCUUGUUGAUCCUUGUGGUAGUAAGCAAAGUUGAUAUAUUACAAGCAUCAAUUCUUUUAAUUUCUCUUGCAUUUGUGCCAUUACAUCCUUCAUUUCAACAAACUUUGCCAUAAUAAUACUCAGAAAGGUAUCUAAUACCACUCAAGUUAAAUAGAAGAAAUUAUUUGAGGACAAAAAAAAUACUAAGAGUAAUAUCAGUUUAGAAGAGGAUAAUCCAAAACUUCUAAUAUAGUUAUAUCUUAUCACAAAAAAAGGGUAAUCCACUCUUAAUCAAGACAAGUCAAAGCUCUCAUAUUUUAACUGUACUCUUGUCAAUCUUCUUUCUUGCUUCUACUCUAAUUUCAGGAGUCUCAAGUUUUCUUAUCUUUUGGCAAUAAGCCAUUCCAAUUCUUUUUUAAAAUAUGUACUUCAUUAUUUUUAUUUUAUCAAUUUUUCUUUGCCAUGGAUUUCAUUGGUUUAUGCAUCAUCUUCCAGUUCAUGUCCUUAAUAGAUAUGGCUUUGGAUCCUUUUUUUUAAUAAAAUUUGAUUUUACAUCUUUUUUUUUAGUUAUGUUUUUGUUUUUUUCUAUUUUCAUUUGCUUAGUUUUGUCUUUCAUCUCCUAUUUUGUUUAAUUCCAUUCCAUUUUGUUCUAAUUUUUUUUUAUUAUAUUUUGUAAUAAGACUUUAUGUUCUUAUAGAUUAGUAGGACUUUUGGAUUUUUUAAGUAGUUUUGUUUUAUUUUAUUCAUUUUGAAAACUAUAGUAACUGUCUUACAAAUUUUUUUGGAUCUUCUUCCUCACAGUUCCAUUACUUGCAUACUAUAGCUUGUUUGAAAGCUAGUACUUGAUCUAGCUUCUUUUUAAAUAUCAAUACAAAAAGGUAAAAAUGUAAGAAGUGGUGUAAAAAAAUCCAAACUAAUAUUAAAUCUCUACUCUCAAAAACUCUAACAAAAAAAAAAAAAAAAAAAAAAAAAAAAAAAUCCAUUUGAUUUUAAAACCUCUAUUCUAACCUUCUUUUAAUACCCACCUUGAACCACUAUAUAGCUAGGAAUCUAUCCUAAAAGACAACACCUUCAAGCUCAAAUAAUCUAUUUAAGCUAAUAACUUCUUAUUUUAAAUUUUAUUCAAAUUUGUGAAUAUAUUAGCAUUAUAUUCUUACUCUUAUAUCAAUGAAAUUAAUUACCUUCCAAAUAGUUUUGAUGCACUUAAAUUAAGUGCAUCACGACAUAAUUCAUCUUAUCUUGUUCUUUGAAGACUUUAAUUUUUUUUUUUUUGCCAUAUUAGUCUUUAAUGAAAUCCCAUCUAACUCUCAAAGAGAAUAAGUUGCAUUAUUAUGCACUUCAACUACCUCAUAGGAUUCAAACCAAUUUCUUAUAAAUUUACAAAGAAUAGAAUAUUGGUGCAAUAAAUUACUAUUAUAAAUAAAAAUCUAAUUAACUACUUGAAUUGUCUUAGGCUUCAAUUAAUAAGUUUUAUCAAAUCUUUCUUUGUUGUUCAACCUUGUUACUUUAAGCUUUUCUAUAGCAACUUGAUGAUCUUCAAGCAAUCUUUUUAGUUAAUAAAUUUGAAGUUCCAACAAUCUUUCUCUGUCAAUGUCAUCCUUUCAAAACAAAAAUAAUCAAAAAAGAAUAGUCUCGUCUGUAGGCAUUAAAGGCUUUUAUUUUAAUAUCAAUUCUAUUGUCAUAUAGCUAAUAAUUAUGCUAUGAGUAGUCUUAUUUGUCCAUAAAGCAAAUGACAAAAGCUUAGAUAACAAUCUUACUUGAUCCCUACAUGCCUUGACCAAAAAUUGAAUGAUUACAGGUUGCCUACUUUCACUUUUGCUAAUAGCUUUGGAGUUGUUAGAGGUGGUCAAUUUCAAUUGCAUCUCAUAUCUUGUAAAGAAAUUAUGUACCUUUGCUAUAUCAAGGUCAUCCUAGUCUACUGUCACUCUUCCAAUACUUCCAUAAUGACAUAUAAUAUCUUCCAAAAUAAACUAAUAUACCACCUCGAUAGACUUUAACCUCAAUAUCCUUUCUUCUAUAUAAUUUGAAAAUUCCUCUCUUGCCAAAACUAAAUACUUCAUGCCCUAAAGCUUCAUUGGUAUGGCAACCAAAUCAAUCACUAAUUAAAAAUAAAUGAAAAAUAAAUAAAUAAAUAAGGCAUAAACCAUCUCUAUACUUCAUCUUGGAUCACCAUUGAUACUCUUUAUAAGAGCUUAUAUACUCCUCUACAUUCUUAUAUAAGCCCUUCUACCAAUAGUGCUCCUUCAUCUUGAUGUAGGUAGUCCAAAAUCCUCUAUAUCCAAUCUACAAUGUAUUAUGAAACUCAUCUAAUACCUUAUGUUUGAUCUCUAAAUCAUCUACUACUUUUGAUAGAAUACCAUCUCUUUAUUUUGGCCUCUUCUAUAAUAAUCUUUUACAUAAAAGAUAGUUUUAGGAUUGAUGCCUAAUAUCCUUAAAGAUCUUGUCUAAUCAAUCAUCUUUCCUUUCUAUUGUGCUCAAAUAUAAGCUAGUGUCUCUUAAUCUCUCAUCAUAUAAAUCAAUUUUGAAGUAUAGAAUGUCAUCACCUUGAUCUCCUUUGCUUAUGGCAAAUGCAAAGCUUUAGAUCAAGUUUCCAUCUUCUUCUUCUACAAGCAAUUUUUUCUCUUGAAUACUUAAUUUAAGACAAUAUAUCUACUACCAAGUUUUUCUUGCCUCUAAUAUGUACCAAAAUAGGAUCUAAAAACUUAAUGAAAGUAAUCCAUAUAAGUAUGGUAAUAUCCGAUGUAAUACUAUUGAAAAUCAUUCCAAAUAAAGAUAAAGAAUUGGUCUCCAACACCACAUGAGUACCUACCAAGUAAUUCUUCAUAGCCUUUAAUGUGGUAAGUACAUUCCAAGCUCAUUUUUUACUUGUAAAUAAGCUCUUUGCUUCUCAGUGAGAAUCCUUGCUUCAAACCUAAUUACAAAUUGAUUAUCCUCUUUAUUAUCUUGUCCAAUAGUCCAUCCAAUGGCUAUAGGACUUGUAUAAAUUAUCACUAUCAUUGGUCUUCCAUAAUUAUAAUCUACUUGAGUUAAUAUUAGUAGUAAUUUCAAAACUACCUUUAAUCUGUCUAUGGUCAAUUCUUGUUCUUCAUUCCAUGCAAACUUCUUCUCUUUUUUUAAUAAUCAAUAAAAAGGCUUUGCAAUAUGAGCAUGAUAGAAAAUCCAUAUAUUAUAAAGUACAUAAGCACCCAAAAAUCUUCUUACCUUGUCAGUACUCCUACAUGCCUUCAUCCUUAUUAUGGCAUCUAUUUUAUUUAGGUUUUAUUUUUUUCUAUAGCUUUUGCAUAAAUGUCUAAUAAGCAUAAUUUCUUCAAAUCUAAAUUUUGACUUUUCAAAGAAUAAUAUAAGAUUUACUUUAUCAUGUCUUUUCAAAAUGUACUCUACAUCUUCAAUAUGUUCUUUUACAAAUAUACAACAUCCAUCUUCUCUCAAAGUCAAAUUUUUAGUUUCAUCAUUGUAACAUUUUAUUCAAAUAUCAUUCAAAAAAGAUAUGGUCUUUUCUAGCAUAAACUUUCUUAAAAUUUGAUUCAUUACAUUUUACACAUGAGCCAUAAAAUUAGUUGCACUUUGUAAUAAGAUACAUAUGAGUAUUAGAUCCAAAGGAGUCUUUAUAGUGAUUACGUUCUUAUUGUCCUCUAUUAAUUGAAAUUAAUCAUAAUUUGAAUAUAAAUCUUUACUAGAGUAAAUGAUAUUUUUCAAAAAAGCUUAUGCUACUUCAUCUACUACUACUCUAGACUUCAUAUUUUUAAUAACCAUUUUGUUGGUUGGUUGCAUAUCUUGAAUGAAUCUGAGUGUCCUACACUUCUUUUGCAUAGUGAACCAUCAAUUGGAAUAAGGUGCAAUAGAUGGUUUAAGAAUGUCCCUCUUGACUUUUUUUUUAAUAAAUCUACAAAUGUGGAAAGCAAAGCCUUUAGCACCAAAGUAGACUUCAAGUUCUAAAGCAUAUGUCAAACGGUAAAAAUAAUCGUAGGUACUACUAUACUAGGAUCUACACAUUGAAUUUCUUAAAAAGCAAAGGUAAAAGCCUUAUUAUAUUUGGAGAGCAUCUCUAGAACCUUCUCUUUUUCCAACUUAGUUAAAAAAUCACCUCUUCCAAUCUUCACUUUAUUCAAAGAUUCUUUAAUGAACUUGUAACUAAUCUUUCUCAAUUCCCUCAAUUCCGGCUCUAUAGUAAUUUAUUUGAUGUGGUCUUUGGUGUCUUAAGGUAAUUGAAUUGCCACAAGCUUUACCUUCUUAGCCAUGAUUUUAUACUUAGUCUACAUCAUAACUUCUUUUAAUAUUAUAUAACUAUCAACUGUUUUCAGCUUCUUACAAAAUUCUAAAAUUUUUCAUAUAUUUUCCUUGAGUGAAGCUCCACAAUAACAUUAGCUCUAAUUCCAUCCAUAUGCAAAGCCAAUCCUUCUAAAACCUUUAUAUAAUCAACUUCAAACUUUUUUUUCUUCAAAAACAUCCAAAAUGCAUUCACCACUUGAAAUCACAUCCAAUCCUUUUGAAUUUUUUUCAUAUUUUUUUAUCUAACCCUUACACAUGUGAUCUAAAUUUCAAAUCUUUUGAAAUCUCAAAACCUCCAAAGUUAUCAAACCCAAAAAUCUAUAUUCAAAGCUUUUUAUAUUAAAAAGUAUAUAGAUAAAAGACUCACUUGCAUCCUUAUACUUCCAUGCUAUAGGAAUAUUUUUUAGAAAUCUGAAAACUCUUCAUUGGUCCUCAAAGAAACUUCUUUAAAUUAGUCUCUAUUUUGUUGAUGAUCUGAUCUUACCGUGAAGAAUUGCAUUGAUUUUUUUUCAUCAUAGUCUUUAAUUCUUAUAUAGUCAAAGCCAUCAUUUAAAACCUUGGUCUCUAUCUUCAGAGUCGUGAUAUAAGGUUGCUUUAAAAUGGCAAGGUAAGUAGCAAAAUUUUGUACAAAUAAAUUUUGCUCUACCUCUACAUGUCCAAUCUUUAUCAUAACUCCUAGAUAUGCUCUAUGUAAAUCAUCUCGCUCAUUGUUGGUGGCCCUCAACACCCAUCCAUAGUUAAAAUCAAUAGCCCACUUGUCCAUCUCAUAAAUCUUCUUUAAUAUGAUGUUGAUCUCCGAUCCAUGAUCAAUAAAUGUGAAAAUGAGGAUUUGGAUAGAGUCACAAAGAGGUUGUUUUUGGAAUAGAUUGAGCAAGAAUAAAGGAGGUCUAUGGUAGUCCAUAAGGUAGGUCAAUAAGGUAAUUAAGAGAUGAAUUAUAGUUUGAUAUUUUAAAGAAUGAAUUUACUUCUGUACCAAUUUUAUAUUGUGUUGACUUUUGCAAGGCAUUUUUUAUAGAAAUAAAUGCAUCAAAUUUUUCCUUAGGUGUAAUAUUAUCACAAAUGGGAGUAGUUAAUAAACUCCAUCUAAUAUCUUUCUAUUCUAAAAAAAUUUAGUUGCCAAGAUUAAUUAUGAGAUCCACAACAAAGAGUUCUUUGUAAUUAUAUAUUCAUUUCUAAAAUGGUGUCAUUAUCUAGAAGGUACCUUGAAUUCAAUCAUUCUAUAUAUGGAUUACAAGAACCUUAAGUAAUUCAUGUUGAAAUAUAUUUUUAGUCAUCACCAAGCUUUUUGGAGCAUGUUUUUAUCAAGAUUUAAUUUCAAGAUCACUUAUCAAUUUGAAAAACAAUAAGAUUUGUUGAAUGUCUUUUUUAGACGUUUUUGUCUUGUGUCAAAAGAAGAUGCAUUUUUUAAUCAAUUAAGAUUUUUUUUCUUGAAAUUAAAGCAUUUUUACCUUUGAAGAAUAAAAUCAAUAUUAACUAUUGAUUCAAUAUUUAUCAAGCAAAUUCAAUCAAGUAUGUUCUCUCAUCUUCUUUUUCAUAAUAUGAAGGAUACCUCUUCUAAGUCUUAUGAUAUUUUUAAGUUCAAGUUUAAAAACAACCUACUCUAUUUUGAAAAAAAAUUACAUAUUUUAGAUGGCAAGGCAUAAUUACAUGUUUUUCAAGCUUGUCAUGACUUUCCAAUAAUUAAGAAUUUUAGAUACAAUAAGACUUUGGAACUAAUAACUAGAGAUUUUUACUGGCUUCAAAUAUAAAAGGCAAUCAAAGACUUUAUACAAUCAUGUGAUCUUUGUUUAAGAUCCAAAACUCUUUACUAUCAAUCUUAUGGACUUUUUUAACCAUUACUAAUUCAAUGAUAACUAAGUUUUUUUAUUUUUUUGAAUUUUAUCACAAAUCUUUUAGUCUCAAGUUUAUAUGAUUCUACAUUUAUGAUAAUAGAUCAUUUUAUCAAGAUUUCAUAUAUUGUACUACACAAAAAAUCUAUCAUAAGUAAAAAAAAAUAGCUAAGUUUUUUUUUUGACAACAUCUAUUGCUAUCAUGGAUUAUCCAAAGAUAUUAUAUUGGAUAAGAAAACUCAAUUUAUAUCAAGUUUUUGGAGAAUUCUUUUCAAGAUUCUAAAGAUGAAUAUGAAACUCUCUUUUACUUUUCAUCUUUAAACUGACAAACAAAUAGAAUGGGUGAAUAAAUUUCUUGAGUAGUAUUUGAGGUAUACCAUCAAUUAUUAUUAAGAUGAUUGUGUAAGUCAUCAAAUUGACUCAUUUGUUGUUUUAAGAUAAAAAUAUGCAUUAAGAAUACUUUGAAUCAUAAUAUAUAGUGAAUAUUAUAAAAAUCCUUAAAAAAAUAGAAAAUUAAAAUGUUAGUGGUGGAAAUGGAAUCUUAGUAAGUCUUAGAGAUAAUUAUCUUUAUUAGUUUAGUAUUUUUAUUCUUUGUUGAAUAUUAAGGAUUAUUUAUUAAGACCAACAUUUAUAUUGGCCUUCUAUCUAUAUGUACUACUUAUAAAAACUAUAAAUAUUAGUAAUUAGAAGAAGCAUGAGAAAGAACAUCAUGUCAUUUUAGUUAUUGAUAUAAAAAAUAAGAUUUAUAGUGGAUUUAAAUUAAUUUUUAUUAUUAUCAAAAAUCACUAAGAUAGAAAAAUAUAGCCUUAGAUAGAUAUUAGCAUUAUAGAAAUAUUAUAGGAUUUUCCAAAUUUUAUUUAGAAUUUAUAAAAUAUUUUUUAGGAAUUUUUAGAGCAAUUUUUAAGAUCUUCGUAAAAAUGAGUUUUACCACCUUGGGAGCCUUUAUGAAGAAAUGGAACAAGAUUUGAAGGCCACUCUAAAAUUCUUUGGCUAAUUGGAUGUUUUUAAAUACCAUAGUAAGGUCAAAAAUGUAAAAAUGUUGGUCCUUCUAAUAGAAAGUAGGAGGAUCAAGAGUUAGUUUAGUCCUUGUAUGAAGGGGGGUGCACAAGUCUCAUAUGGAUUGUAGCACCUUGAAGGUAGUUAGGAAGAUAAGACUAAGGCCUUGUGGCCUCUCUUUAAAAUCCUUAAACACUACAUGUGAGCCUUGGUGAGGCUUGAAUCCUUGAUCUAUAAGCAAGUUAUCCUUGAGAUAAAAUAUUUUUACUUCACUUUUCAAUUAUUUAUUUUUUAUCUUUAAAACUUCAUAACUUACUCAUAGUAAUUCGGAUUUAUAUAUUUUUUAUGUCAUUAAAAAGAUAAUAAAAUCACCUAUCUAAAAAUAUAUUUUUUUUAUUUUUUACUUCUACUUUUUAUUGGAUGAAAAUACAAUGAAUAGACUGUGACUUAGUUUUAGGUAUUGUAAUUACUUGAUUUCAUUUCUUUCACUUGUAUUAUAGUUGUUCUUUUUUGAUUUUUUUCCAAUUGCAUACUUCACUUCACACCACCAAUUAUAAGCAACUCUUAAUUGUGGCCAUCUUAUAAUUGAGAUUGAAGAGUAAAAUUUACACACUAUUUUGACUUUGCAUGUAUUUGUAGUUGAUUGAUAGGUUAGAAACUUAAUCAACAAGCUAACUAGAUGCCACAUGUAUUGAUAGCUUACGAAAGAAGCUAAUUAUGUGGUGCCUAUAUACAAAAUUUAUCUUAUAAAUUAAGAUACAUAUUGUACUAAGUCAACAUAUUUUUGGAGGUUCUAUACAAUGUCUCCACAUAGAUCUUAGAUAGAUAGUAUAUGUAGAGGCAAAAAUAAAUCCUUCUUUAUUUUUAUUAACUCCUUUUUUGUUUCUAAUAUAGUUUCAAAAGUUUCUAAUUUUCUUAUCUUUUGGCAAUACCUAUUCCAAUUUAUUUUUUCAUAUAUAUACUUCUUUAUUUCUAUUUUGUCAUAUUUUUUUGAGAAAAUUUCACUUAUUUAUUUACUUUCAUGAAAUUCUUAUCUUUGACAAAUUGAUAAGAAUAUACUUACAAUAUCAAAGCUUUGUCUUUUUUUGAUUAAGAGUAUAUUAUUUCUUUCUCUUGAUAAGACGUAAGCAUAUUAGGAUUUAUAGAUUAUCUUCUUUUAAACUGAUAUUAUCUUUAGUAAUUUUUCUUUGUUUUUAAGUCUUCUCUUCUAUUUUUCUUGAGAAAUAUUAGACAUCUUCUCUUCUUUUAGUAUCAUCAUGAUAAAGCUUCUUGGAAUGAAGAGUGUAAUGGUACAAAUAUAAGAACAAUUGAAGAAAUUAAUGCUUGCAAUGCAUCAACUCAAUUUACUGCCAUAAGAAGUAAUAAGAAUGGUAAGAAGCAAAGAUAUAGAAAUAAUUCGAACUACUUCAACAUGUACACCAAAUCAUCUCUCUUUUCAUAUUGUAGAACAUCUUUCUAGUAUUAAAAAAUUAAGGAUUGCACAACUCAAGAAGUUUGAUGGCAUAAGAUCUAAGUUUCAAGGAUUUAUCAUUCAAGUAUAAUCUAUGAUUGAACUUCAAUUCCAAAGCUAUUCAACUUCAAGAUCGCAAGUUAGAUUCAUUAAUACUUUCUUUUCAGAUUCAACACUAUCAUCAUUUUUAUUUUUUUUUUGAAUGACAAGAUCCAAUAUUAGAUAAUCUAAAGGCUUUUUGGUAGAAUUUUCAUCCAUGUAUAGAAAACAUGAUGUAAUUUGUGCAGCUAAAAUCUUAUACAAUACCUAAUAAAGGUCAUAUUUUCUCUUUAGAAUCUUCUCCUUAUUUUACAAUAAAUAUUAUUUUAGAAUCUAAACAUAUCAAAGCCUCUACUUUAUUAGAUUCAAGAGUCUUAGUAUAUUUUAUAGAUGAAAAAUUUGCUAAAAGAUAUAGCAUACCUUUAAUAAAGAAAACUAAACCUGUUCAUGUACAAGUUAUAGAUGGUUGUGUAUUAUUUGUAGAAAAUACUACUUAUAAAAUCCUUCCUAUUCAAGUAACAAUUAAUGGUCGUAGUAGCUUUGUAAUAUUUAACAUCAUUAAAUCUCUAUUUAAUCUAAUUAUUUUAGAUUUAUAAUGGCUAAAAAAAUAUAAUUCAAAAAAAGAUUAGAUUUUUUGUAGUCUUGACUUUUUUGAAAGUAUAACUAUGAAUAUUAUUAAUCAAGUAGAAAGUCAUAAGUUUAGUACAACCAAAUAUGUAUUUAUAGGUGCAAGAACUUUCUUACAUACCAAAAGAAGGAUUGUUGUAUAUUAUUUAUAUUGCAUUUGUUUCUAAUGGUAGAAAGAUUUCAAGUGGCAUUUCAAGCCAAUAUCAAGAUUUUCAAGAUAUAUUUGAGAAGAAGAAUGUAAAUAUUCUAUAAAAACAUCGUUUCUAUGAUUGCUCAUUUGAUCUUUAAGAAAGAGCUCACUCACCAUUAAGACCAAUUUAUAAUUUAUCAUAAAGUGAGGUGGCUGAAUUCAAAGAAUAUAUUGAAGAAAAUCUAGCUAAGAACUUUAUAUGUUAUUCCAAAUCUCCAACAAGAGCUUCAAUUUUAUAUGUAAAGAAAAAAAGUGGAUCAUUAUGGAUGUGUGUUGAUUAUCAAAGACUCAAUAAAAUCACCAUCAAGAAUAGGUAUCCAUUACUUUUAUUAUUUGGACUUCUUGAACAAUUGAAUCAAGCUAAGAUCUAUACAAAAAUAGAUCUAUGAAAAGCAUAAAAUUUGAAAUGCAUCAAAAAAGGAGAUGAAUAGAAGAUUGUGUUUUGAACAAGGUAUGGAUAUUUUGAAUACAAUGUCAUUGCUUUUGGACUUACAAAUGCACCAUCUUUUUAAUAUUUAAUGAAUGAUUUUUUUUAAGAGUUUUUAGAUGAUUUUAUUAUUUUUUAUCUAGAAAAUAUCUUAAUCUAUUCUAAGAACACAAAAGAAUAUGAAUUUUAUAUUUAUUGUGUGUUAAAAAAACUAAGAGAUGUGGAAUUCUAUGCUAAGAUAGAAAAAUAUAUAUUCCAUACUACUUACGUUGAUUUUUUAAGUUACAUUAUUUCAAAUGAUGGAUUUAUGAUGGAUCCUUAGAAAGUUCAAACUAUUAUAAAAAAUUUCAAUGGCCAAGACCAACUAUGAUAUUCACAAGAAAGAACUUCUUUUAAUUAUAGAUUUGUUUCAAGAAUGGUACCAUUAUUUAGAAAAUGCUUUUAAUCUAAUUAUUCUUUAUAUCAACCAUAAGAAUCUUAAAUACUUUAUAUCAGCACGUAUUUUAAAUCAUUGCCAAGCCUAUUAGAGCAUGUCUUUAUCAAGAUUUGAUUUUAAGAUCACUUAUUGAUCCAAAAAAUAAUAAGAUUUGUCAAACGCCCUUUCUAGACGUUCUUAUUUUAGAUCAAAAGAAUGAGACACAUCUUUUAAUCAAUAAAAAUUGAUUCUCUUGAAGGCAGAUCAUUUUCAUCUUUUAACAAUAAAAUCAACAUUGACUAUUGAUUCAACUCUUAUCAAGCAAAUUCAAUCAAGUAUGUCCUUUGAUCCUCUUGUUUAUGAUAUUAAAAAUCUUUCUUUUAAGUCUCAUGAUGCUUCUAAGUUUAAAUUUAAAAAUAACUUACUCUAUAUUGAUGGAUAUCUAUACAUUCCAAAAAGAGAAGCACAUUUAUAUGUUCUUCAAGUACGUCAUGACUUUCCAAUGGUUGAAUAUUUUAGAUAUAACAUGACUUUAGAACUUAUAUUUAGAGAUUUUUAGUGGCCACAGAUAUGGCAGAAAAUGAAAGACUUUGUUCAAUCAUGUGACAUUUGUUCAAGGUCAAAAAUUCUUUAUCAUUGACCUUAUAGACUUCUCCAAUUAUUAUCCAUUCUAGAACAACCAUGGUCUUUUGUUUCUAUAGAUUUUAUCAUGGAUCUUUUAGACUCAGGUUUUUAUAACUCUAUAUUUGUGAUAUUAGAUUUUUUUACCAAAAUAGUACAUUUUAUACCAUAUACAAAAUCCAUCACAAGUGAAAAAAUAACCAAGUUUUUUUUUGACAACAUCUAUCACUAUCAUGAAUUACCUAAAGAUAUUAUAACGAACAGGGGAACUAAAUUUGUAUCAAAAUUUUAGAGAACACUUUUUAAGAUUUUAAAAGUGGACAUAAAACUAUCUUUAGCUUUCUAUCUUUAAAUUGAUAGAUAAACAAAGUAUGUAAAUCAAAUUUUGGAGCAGUACUUGAAGUAUACUAUCAACUACCAACAAGAUGAUUGGACAACUUUUUUGCCAUUGAUAGAGUUUGCUUACAAUUAUAUAGUAUAUUUUUCUACAUAACAAAUAUCUUUUUUUUAAUUAUAGUUAUCAUCCAUAACUUGAUGCUUUUGACUUUUGAAAAGUUGAUAAUUUUAUAGCAGAAGAUUUGAUAAAUUAUUUAUCUGAGUUAUAUACAAUAAUAAAAGCAUGAGUAAAAGAGACUUAAGAACAAAAAAAAAAGAGCAACAUGGAUGCUUAUUAUAAAGAAUAAUCUUAUUUCUAUGUUGGUGAUAAGGUAUGAUUACUUUAUUGUAAUAUUAAAACUAUUUGUCCUUAUAACAAGUUGGAUUUUCAUAGACUUUGACCAUUUUUAUUUGUAAAUAAGUCAAUCCAAUUGCUUAUCAAUUAUAUCUAUCAAAGUCUAUGAAAAUCCAUCUUGUAUUUCAUGUAUCUCUUUUAAAGCCAUUUAAGAUAGUAAAUAUCUUGAGAAGAAGAUAAAUACCACCAAAUUCUAUAGAAAUAAAUAAUAAUCAAGAAUUUGAGAUAGAAAAAGUCUUAGAUUAAAGGCAACACCAACAUAGGUUAUAAUAUCUUAUUUAUUGGGCCGGAUACAAUAUUAAAAAAUGUAUAUAGGAGCCAAUAAAAAAUCUUACAAAUGCAACAAAGAAGGUCAAAGCUUUUUAUCAAUAACAUCCAUUAAAACUAAGAUAAAGGAUAGCAAACCUUUAUUAUAAAAGAAACACAAUUUAGGAAAAAUUGCAUUCUACCUUCUAACUUUGUUUGUAGUUUCUAUAUAAUUGUGGUGUUAAAAAGAUAAAAAAUCAACAGUUAGAAAAUUCAACUCAAAAGCCAUCUUUUGUUGACUUAUUGGAUGAGAUAUUAUAAUUAUUAUAACCUUCAAGAUGACAUAAUAGAGAUGAAGACCUUAAAUCAUUCAUAUGAAUAGGUAGAAGUAAGUAAAAAUAGAUUAUUUUUAUAAUAUCUUCUGAAUAAGCUUUCUAAAAGCUUUCUAGAUGUUAUUUUGAUUUUAUUUGUAUUUGUAGUUGAUUGAUAGGUUAAAAACUUAGUCAAUAAAUUAACCAUAUAUCACAUGUGUUGGUAGCUUAUAGAAGAAGUUAACUAUAUGGUGCCUAUAUAAAAAACUUGCUUUGUAAGUUAAGAUACAUGUCAUGCAAAGUCAACACGUUUUUAGAUAUUGUAUAGAAUAUUGCCACAUAUAUCAUAGGUAGAUAGUAUAUAUAGAAGCAAGAAUGAAGCCUUCUUUAUUCUUCUCAAUUCCUUUCUUGUUUUUAGUGUAGUUUCAAGAAUCUCGAGUUUCCUUGUCUUUUAGCAAUAGCCAUUCUAAUUUUUUUUUUAAUAUACAUACUUCUCUAUUUCUAUUUUUUCAUAUUUCUUUGAACAAAUCUCACUUGUUUAUUUGUUUUCAUUGAGUUCUUGUCAUUGACAAUGCAACAAUGAAGGCAUUAUUAAAAAAAAAACUCAAGAACAAAAAAAGAACAAUGUAGAUGCCUAUUACAAAGACCAACCACAAUUCAACAUAGAUUAUAAAGGUAUGACUAUUUUAUUACAAUAUUAAGACUACUUAUGCUUAUGACAAAUUAAAAUAUUAUAAGCUUGAAUCUUUUUUUAUUAAUAAAUAAAUCAAUCCUAUUGCUUAUCUAUUCUAUCUAUUGGAUUCUAUGAAGAUCCAUCUUGUAUUCAUCGUAUCUCUUUUUGAGCCACAUAAGAUAGUAAAUAUCUCAAAAAGAAGACAAAUGCCACAUCUUCCUAUAAAAAUAGAUAGUAAUCAAGAAUUUGAGGUAGAAAAAGUCUUAGAUUCAAGGCAUCACCAAAAUAGAUUAGAAUAUCUUAUUCAUUGGCAUGGAUAUGAUAUUAAUAAAUAUACAUAGAAGCGAGCAAAGAAUCUUGCAAAUGCAACAUAAAAGUUUGAAGUUUUUUUAUUGAAAAAAUCUAUCAAAAUAAAGAUAAAAAUAAUAAAUCUUUGUUAUAAAAAAAUAAAACCUAAAGAAGAUAGCAUUCUACUUUUUACUCUUAUUUAUAAUUUUUGUGAUACUAAAGACAUGAACCAAUAAUUAGUAGAUUCAACUUAAGAACUAUGACUUGCUGACUCAUCAGAUGAGACAUUACAAUUGUAAUAGCCUUUAAGACGACAUAAUCAAGAUGAAGAUCCUCAAAAAUGACAUGUCUUUCUUUGAAUAGAUGGCAAGAUAUAAUAUGUUAGGUAUUAUGGUCUUGGAAGAAACUCUUGAUGUUUGGUAAUUUUAUUAAAAAUAAAAAUAACUUUUAACAGUAUUCCAAAUGUUUUAUUUGAAGGGAGUUAUGAAGGCUUUGAAAAUGAUCAAAUAAUAAGAUAGUCUUUCUACCUUGGUAUGGGAUACUAUUGGUGGCUAAGAGGACCUAUCAACCAUCUUCAAAGAAAACAAAGAUCAAAGUAUGUGGCAAAUGUAAUUUACCACAUCUUAAAUUUUUUUAAUAUAUGAUGAUUGCUCUUUAUAGAAUUCAUUCCUAGAAAGGGAGAUAAUAUCAUGGACAUACAUAUUUAUUCUAAUAUUAAUUUAUGUCAUUUAGAAGAAAUAAGUAAAAAUAGAUUUAUUUCAUAAUAUUUUUUAGAAAAGCUUCCUAGAAGCUUUAUAGAAGUUUUUUUGACUUUACAUAUAUUUAUAGUUUUUUGAUAGGUUAGAAACUUAGUCAAUAAGUUAAUCAUGUAUUGAUAGCUUGUAAAAUAAGCUGGUUAUAUUGUGUACAUAUAGAAAAUUUAUCUUUCAAGGUAAGAUAUGUGUCUUACAAAAUCAUCAUGUUUUAGAGGUCCUACAAGAUAUGGCCACAUAGAUUCUAGUUAAGAGUAUAUAUAGAUGUAAGAAUAAAGAAUUUUUUUUUAUUCUUUUCAAUGCCUUUUUAGUCCACACUCUUAUUUUAAGACUUUUUAGUCUUUUUGUCUUUGGCAAUAGCUAUUCUAACUUCAUGCUAUAUCAUCUUUAAAUGAUUUUUUAGUCUAUUUGGAUGACAUAAUAGUAUAUUGAUAUUUUAAUUCUUUAAGAUUUAUGUCCUUGAUAUUUAUAAAAUACUAGUUUAUGCAUCGAAUUAAAUUACUUUGAUACAUUUUUAAAAAUGUACUACCAUUGGGUGAUAUUCAAAUACAAGUUUUGGAAUCUUAUUAAUAUAUUGAUCAAUUCUUUGGUCUCUCAACAUAUGUCGAUGUUAUGAUUUUAGAUUGUUGUUUGAUUUGGACCAACCUAGUAUUGUCUCACAUACUUAUAAAAAUAUUUUUUAGAGUUCAACAACCUUUUAGAUGCUAUAUUAAUGUUAUGUUGAAUGCUAAUCAAUUUUUUUUUAUUAUUACUAAGAUUAAUGAACCUCUUCUUACUUUGAUUAAUAAGAUAGAUGAAUCUUGUAGUAUAUUUCAUAUAUUUGUAACAUUUUUAGCAUCCUUUGUAUUUUGAGCAUGCAAAUUUAGUAUAGUUUAGAAUUUCAAUUUACAAACCUAUGAAGAAUCCAAUUCUAAUGAAAGAAAGUAUACCAUAGGCUUUUUAAUUGGCAUCAAAACUACUUAUGAUCUUAUUAAAAGAUAAUUUUGUUUUUUCUUAGAUUAGGUUAUGGACUCCAAUACUUUAAUAUGGAUUUUUGGCAUAUACUUUAUUAUUCAAAAGUAUUUUAAUAAUCAUAUUAGUACUUUGAAGUUAGAAAACAAUGGCCAAAGAGCUGUUGAUUUUGAACCUAAAUUAACCUAUCUUACGGAUUUUGUAGCUCAAUCCUACCUUCAACUUAAUUCUAGUAUCAACCAUAUUAAUUAUUUAUCUCUUCUAUCCUAUUUUUAUUAAUUUAUGGAUUUUUUAAGGUACUAAAAGAUAUUCUAUAGUCUAGAAGGUAAAAUUAUUAACAAAUCUUUAAUCUAUUAGCUAUCAAGAUAAGAAAAUAAAUUAAGAAGCUUUAAUAAAAGCCACAUUUAAAUUUCUUAAAUUAUUAUUGAACCAAGAUGAUUAAAUAUUAAUUAGAAAUUUAUUUUUUAUUAUAUUUUUAUCAUAUAAUUGAAUACCAAUACGACAAAAUUAUUGCUAAUCCUUUAACUAUAUUCUAAGGUAAAGAUCAACCAUAGACUUGAGGUCAUGAGCAAUAACAUGCAUUGGACAUAUUAAAGCAAAAGUUGGAUUCAAUUCCAAUGCUUCAAUGUUUAGAUGCCAAUAGACCUUUCCAACUAUACACAAAUUAGAAUGUAGUAGGAUUGGAAGUUGUCUUGAUAGAAAAAGAUGAUACAAGAUAGAAAUUUAUUAUUUCAUUAGCUUCUAGAAGUAAAAAUAAUGUAGAGUCAAAUUAAUGGUCUUAUAUAAGAAAAGCUUUGGCAGCAAUUUGGACCAUUACUCACUUCUCACCUUAUUUGUGUAGUCAACUCUUUAUGUUGGUAAGUAACCAUCAACCUUAGAAGUAGCUUAUGGAAUCAAACAAGAUUACUAGCAAGCUUAUAAGAUGGACUUUGUUGCUUCAAGAAUAUAACUUUGAAAUUGUGCAUCAAGCAAGUAUUACCAAUUUUUAUGUUGAUGGACUUUUUUGUAAUCUAUGUCCUUCAAAAGAAGACUUAAUUGAAGCUCAUUUGCAUGGAAAUUGUGAUCAAGAGAUAGUCUUUGGAUGUCAUUGUUGUAUUGUAUGGUUUUCUAUCUGAGAAUAUACUCGAUACUUAAUUGUAGAGAGUUUAGUUUUAAAUUAUUGGCCAAACUCCAAUAAGUUAUUUAACCUUUAAAGUAGAAGACAAAUAAAUACUACAAUAUCAAAAAGAUAUCAUACUAAUGAAACCUUUUAUAUUUAAGAAGGUUUAUACAUAAGGCUUUCUAAAAUAUCUAUAAAUUUCCUAAUAUUCUAGAUUAUACCAAAUCAUAACUAAUCAUUUGCUAGUAAGUUAGAUUUUCAAUAAUUCCAAAGAAAGUCCAAAAUUUCUUUUCAAAAAUUAAUCUUUAUAUUAAAAUUUUAAAAAUAGCUCCAUAUAUCCAUCUUCAAUAAAUAUAUAAAGUCUUGAAUUCAAAAAAAAAUCCCUUUAUUUUGUAUAAAAUGCUCAAAUUGUAAUAAAAUUCCUUCAAAAUAUAUUUUUCUUGCAAGGCAUUUUUUAUUCUUGAACUUUAGAAAUUCAUAUCUCUUGAUCCAAAUUUUCAGGUUUUAUCAAAUUUAAAAAUAAUAUAAAAUUUAUCUUUAAGCAUUACUACAAAAAAAUUCAAUCAUAAAUUUACUACUGAUCGUUUGGCAUCUUAAAAACCUUAGUAGGUGCUUCAAACCCUAAUUCACAAGCACCCAAGUACUAUUUUCUUCAUAUCUCACAAAUCCAAAAUCUAAAUACUACAAAACUUUUUUAUGAAGUUUAAUAACAUAAAAAUACACAUUCUUAAAAAAAUUUAAUCAAAAUCUUAUCAAAUUGUACAAGAUAUAGCUCAAAACACAACUACUAGCAAUUUGGGUCACUUAUUAUUUCUUAGUUUUCAAGCAUUGACUUCAACUUCUAAUAUCUCCUUCAUACUAAUUUAGAAUUUAUCAUUCAAUAUCUAUAAAGUUUAGUUAAGAAAGUAUUUUUUCCAACCUUAGUGGCCAAUCUUUUAUUGCUUUCAGUAUGCAUGCAUUAUAUCCAAAAGAGUGAUAGUAGGUACAAAACCAAUACCUUGAUUUUGAGUCCCCAUAUUGCCUUUAUAAAAACUCCAAAUGACUCAAAAUUUGUACCAAAACCAUAGCCAAAAAUCUGAGCUUGUCGAUCCUAGCCUUUGAUGUUUAAAUGCCCUCUCAAAAGACUAACCCUAAUUCCUAAUAUGGCCUUGGACAGCCUCCUUGAAGUCCAUUGGUCAUGAUUUUUGACCAAUAGGAAUGGAGAUUUAUAUCAUAUAUCUCCAUUCAUUCAUAUAAGUAUUCUAACUACCUUUUUUGCUACCAAAACCUCUCUUCAAUCCCUUUCCAUAUAAGAUUUAUAUAUUAUAUGCCUUAAACAUCAAAUAAAAGAACCAAAAUAAAACUUCAAAAGCCACCAAUAUCUAGCAAAGAUGACUCUAAAUGUUUAAAAUUUACUACUAAUAAGAUCAACUUCAAAAGUCACUAUCAAAAAAAAAAGUUAUAUAAAUUCUAAUAGAAGUCAUUUUAAACAACAUCUUUUUGAGGUAGUAAUCUAUCUACAUCCUAUAACUAAUAAAAAUCUACUAACAUGGCUCUCAUCAAGUUCUCUAGUAUAUCGUAUAUUAAAUAUAUAAACACACUAUUUUCACAUAGUAGCCAAACCACAAUAUGACAUCCACCCCUUCCAAACAUGUACAUCCUCCAAUGUGCACCAAGAAGAAUUAAAGUUGUAGUUGGGGUCAUACCACUUUUUCAACAUUGUCUUUUUCAUGAUCCAUGUCUUCUUCUUCUCCUUCAUUUGUAAAGAAUCUAUGUAUUCUCUAAUAUCUUCAUGAAAUUCUUGUUGCCUUAAUCAACACUGCUUAUUAAUUUUGUCCUUAUUUUUUUAGCAUAUUUCUUUAUAAAAAUCUUUUAAACUUGUUACUAUAUAUAUACUUACUAUCUUAUCAUCUUUAUCAAGCAAACCUACUCUUUUUAGAUCUUUUUCCAAAUUUUUACACACUCUUUUGCUCCCAUUUUUGUAAGCCAUUAGGUUGUAUAUGUACAGCAAAUUCAUUUCUAGAUAAUUUUACAACACUUGUAUAAAAGAUACUUUUUUAUCCAUGCAAGAAUACCUUCUUUGAUGUACUACUAAAUUCCCAUUCUAUAUUAGUACUUUGCAAUAAUCUUUAAAUUCUUCAUUGAUCCUUGAUAAUAAACUAUUCUGAAGAUAAUCCUGAUUGCGUUCAUAGUUAGCAAGUAUAGUUAAGAACUAUACUGCUCUCUUGCCAUCCAAGCUUUUGAUACGGGCACAUGCCAAUCCAUCAUUUAACACCUUAGUUUCUAUUUUCACAAUUGUAAUAUAUGGUUUUUUAAGAAUUAUUGGAUAUGAAGUAGUGUCUUGAAUAAAGAAAUUUUGUUUAGUAGUUACAUCUCUAAUUUUCACUUUUAUAUUAGGACAAGCACCAUAGAGGUCUCUUCGUGAAUUAUUUGCUGUCCAAAUCAUCCAACUAUGUUCAAUGACAAUAUGCCACCUUUCGCAUUUGUAAAUUUCUUUUGACAUAGUAUUAAUUUCAUAUCUAUGAUCAAUAAGAGCAAUUACUGGAUCUAUCAAGUCCUUCAUCUUCACCAAGGUUUCUAUGGUGGCUCUAGCCCAAUAAUCCCUAAUAUAGUAAAUAGGGCCUUUGUUAUCAAUCUUCUCUUCAUCCAAAGAAAAUUGAAGCUUUUUAUUGAUACAACAUUCAACCAACUGAACUUCUUCUUCUUCCUUCAAUAUUGUAUCUAAGGCAUUAGAUAUUAUAAAUUCCUCUAUCAAUUUCUUUUUUCAUUUAAUAAUGUCAAUAAUGACAUCAUGAAAUUCUUUCUUUGUAAUGCCUAAAAUUUCUCGCAAAUUAAAUUCAAUUUUGGUAUUCAACACCCUUUCUUCUAGCACUCCUUUUAAAUAUGUAGUUACUUCAAUGUUUCAUUAUAACUUGUAAGAAACAAGCUUAUUCUUUUCUUUAUAUUUAUCAGCUUCCAUUCUUUUUUUUCAUUUUUUCUUUGAUAGUAGUGCAUUCUAAGGGUGUGAUGUUGAUGGUCUAAUUUUUGAUGGUCUACUAUCCUAUAAUAUAAGUAUUUUCUUAUUUUGUUUUUUUUUUUUUUUUCAUUCUUGUGAGACCUUCUUUUGUUAUUUGGCUCCUCAUGAUUUUCAUCUAUUAUACUUCUAUUUCUUUUUACAUCCACCAAAGCUUCAUAUUGGAAUUUAGCCAAAUAAGCAUGUACAAAUAUGACAUCAAUAGAAUCAUCCUAUCUUGUAGCAUUCUUGAUCACUGUAGCUUUUUUGAGCAAUUCUUCUCUUAUUGUUUUUUUCUUAUCUAUGUUGAUAAUAGCAUGAUUCUAUAGAUCUCUUGUAUCUACAUACUUGUCAAAAAUAUUCUCUUUCUGUCUUAUAAUCUCAAUAUUAUAGGUAGUAGCCUCUUUUGAUGCCAUAGUUUGUUGAAAUAAAUGUUCUUCCAAAACCUUCUUCAUCUAUCCCUUUCCAAAAUUGAUUUUGAAAAACUCAUCUAUAUCUCGCAAUGCAAUUUUUCCAUCUUUCCAUAAAAUUAUUCUUUGUUGCAAAAUAUCAGCAAAAUCUCAACAUUUCUUAUGAAGAUGCUCAAUACUAUCAUACCAAAUACAUCUCUAUAUAUAUAUAUCCUUACUUUGAUGCAAGUUUGAUCUCAAAUAUUCCUCCUUUCUCCUCUAGCUUUGCCAAUUUGAUUUAUAAGACUUUCAUUCCUUUCACUAACUCUUCAAUUGCAUCUUUUUUUUGUACAAUUAUAGACAUAGGAUUUGGAACAUCGGAUAUGAGUAUAGCGGGUUUUGGUAGUUGCUUACAAGAUAUUAUAAUUAAUGGAGGUUUAGUUUCUUGCCUUAUCACUACCUUACUUCUUUGAUAUUCUCUUUUAGCAAGUAUACCUACUGCUUCAAAUACCUUCUUCUAGUCACUUGUGAGUCUAUUAUCUUUUGUAAUAUCUUCCAACAAUAAUUCCAAUUCUAUUUGUAAUUCAUUGUUGACCGAUUGAAGGAAUAGCUCUACCUUAUCAUUUUUAAGAGUAAGUUUUUUCACUCGAGAUAAUUGAAGAAAUUGUCUUUUAAAUUCCCAAAAUAACUCUAUUACAACUAAUUUCUUAUUGGAUUUAUUAAUCUACUCCAUGAAUGAUUUUUUUGUUAUCCUUUCAACAUCCUCUAAAGAAUAUUCUUCUUAUAGGUGAGGAAUAAAAUCCUUCCAUUUUUUUCCAUGAUUUUAAAUAAUCUCUUAUAUAUGCUCUCAUAACUCCAGUACAACUACAAGCUUAAAUAUUAAGAUCAUUUCUUUUUUUGGUAUUUUAUUAAGUUUUAUCUUUGAAGAAUAAUAUUUCAAAUACUUUGAGAUAUUUCUUUCAUUAAACUGAUCCAAUAAACUAAAAACAGAUUGUAAGGCUUUAGUAGCCAUUACCUCCUUAUGAUCCACUAUUUGUUGUUACUACAUAUAAAAAGUAAAUACUUGAAACUUUUGAGCUAUAGCAGAAUCAAGCUGCAAUGGUGAUGUUCCAUUGUAGUUUCUACUACCACUUCUUUAUUUUCUAGCCAUAAUAAAAUCAAAAUAUUUCUUCAAAACUCUCUAUCCCAAUUAUUUCAAGUCCAGUUUACUAGCUGUCAUAUAGCAUGAUUUGCAAUUUGAGAAUACACUAGAUACCUAGCUAUAGAGAGUUUAGCUUUGGCUUAUAUAUGAUGUCAUAGCUCCCAAAAAUUCCUUUAUCUUAGACAAAAGCUCAAAUUAUAAUAAAAUCCUUCAAAAUAGUUUCUUUUCGCAAAGUAUGUUUUUACCAUAAACUUUGGAAAUUCAUAUCUCUUGAUCCAAUCGUCUAGUUUUUUUCAAAUUUUUAUUCAACAUAGAUUCUAUCCUUAAUCUUUACUAUAAAAAAAUGAACUAUAAAUCUAUUACCAAUCUUUUGGCAUCUUUGAAACCCUAGAAAGUACUCUAAAUCCUAAUCUAUAAGCAUCCAAAAACUAUUUUUCUUAUAUCUAAAAAUCCAAAAUCCAAAUGCUAUAAAAUUUUUACCAAAAUUUCAUUAACAUAAUUACACACAUUCUAAAAAAAAUUAGCCAACAUCUUAUCAAAUUACACAAGAUAUAGCUCAAAACACAACUACUAGUAAAUCAGAUUACUUACUAUCCUUAGAUUUGAAGUGUUGGCUUCAACUUCUAGUAUCUCCUUUAUUCCAACUUAGAAUCCAUCAAAAAAUAUGCUUAAAUUAUAGCCACAAAAAAUUUCUCUCCAAUCUUAGUUUCCGAUCCUUUAUUGCUUUUUGUAUGGAUGCAUUAUACUCAAAAAAGUGACAAUAGAUAUAAAAACCAACACCUUGACUUUGAGCGCCUAUAUCUCUUUCAUAAAAACUCCAAAUGAUUCAAAAUUUGUACCAAAACCAUAGCCAAAAGCCUGAACUUGCCAAUUUUAGCCUUAGAAGUUCGAAUGUCCUCCCAAAAGAUUAACCCAAUCCCUAAUAUGGCCUUAGGCAGCCUCCUUGAAGCCCAUUGGUCAUGAUUUUUGACCAAUAGGAAUAGAGAUUUAUAUCAUCUAUCUCCAUUCAUUCAUAUGGAUGCCCUAACUACUUUUUUUGCUACCAAAAUCCCUCUUCAAUCUCCUUCCAUAUAAGAUUUAUAUAUUAUAUGUCUUAAAUAUCAACUAAAAGAAUCAAAAUAAAACUUCAAGGACCACCAAUGUCUAACAAAGGCAACUCUAAAUGUAUAAAGUUACUACCAAUAAAACCAACUUCAAAAGUCACUAUCAAAAGAAAAUAAAGUUAUACAAAUUCUAAUAGUUAUCCUAAAUAACUUCCUUUUAAAAUAAUAAUUUAACCACACUCUACAACCAACUAAAAUCCAGUAACAUAGCUCUCAUCAUAUUGCUAAAUAAAUUAUACAUUAAAUAUAUAAACACAUUAUUUUCACAUGGUAGCCAAACCACAACAUGAAAAUGUGGAGCUACAUACUUGUUUUUAAUAUCAGGUUCUACAACCAUAGUUCUUGAUUAGAAUUUAGAUGAGAAAUUGGAUAAGAAUCAAAUAAUUAAUAAUAAAUGGAAAUAUCUUAUAGUCUUGUACAAGUUUCAACAAUGAACAUUAUUUUUAGCUAUCUUUGAUUUAAAAAGAGAUAAGAUUAAUCAUUGAAUAAUAAGAUUUUUUUAGGAAAAUAAUUUAUUAUUUUGUGUGUGGUUUGAUAAAAUUAGAUACAUAGUUCCUAAGCUAAAUCAAAGAACAUCCUUAAUAUACCAAAUACAUGAAGAAAUUUGAGAUUUUAAAGUGUGUAAGAUGUAUUUUAUGUUGUAUAAUCAAUAUUGGUGGAGUGAUAUAUAUCAACAAGUAACCACAUAUUUUUCUUAGUAUGAAGUAUGUAAUUAAGUUGAAUCAAGCUUUAGCACCUUAUCAUCUUAAUUGAAGUUGUUACAUAUUAUGAAUUUAUGUUAUCAUUGGUCUUUGGACUUUGUUGGAACACUUGUUGUUAUCCCACGUGGAACUAAGUAUAUGUUAGUGAUGAUAAAAAUAUUUUAGCAAGUAGAUUGAACUUGUGGCUUUACCACAAAAUUAUUUAGAAUUGACAACUAUAGUUUUUUUUUUUAUCAAAUAUUAGCACGUUUUGGAAUCCCUAUUGAAAUUUCAAUUAUUCAAAGAAGAGAGUUUUUUAGAAGUUUUGAAGCUUUAUGUACUAAAGCUUUGAUAAAUCAUCAUAUCAUGUCUAAAAAUCAUCUUAAAAUAGAUAGCUUAGUUGAGCAAGUUAAUUAGACUAUUAAACAUGGAUUAUGAAAGUAUGGAUUACUUCAUGGCAACCAUCGUGAUUGGAACUUUAUGUUGCUAUGAAUUGUGAUAGGUUAUUGCUUCAAUACACAAUCAUCUUUGACAUCUUAUAAUUCUUAUUAAUUAUUGUAUGGAUAGAAGCCAAUUCUACCUAGCUCAAUACAUGAAAAGAUAGUUCUAUUUAUAGUCCUAGAUGAUCUUGAUGUUUGAAUUUAAUGUCUAUAUAAUUGAACAAAGUUUUUUAAAUAAGCUAUGCCUAUAGCUAUGGAGAAUUUAUCUAUUGCUCAUCAUUGUCAUACUUUACGAUAUACUUGCAUUUGUAGUAGAGCUUAUCAACUCUAAUUGUAAAGAUUUUUAAAAAAAAUUAUGUGUAUUUGUAACGUGAGGUAUCUAUAACACUUGAUAUUAAAGCAAGGUGUAUAAUUUUAUGUAUAAAGAAUAUAUUGCUUAAUAGUAUUUUAUUAUUAGAAGGCAAAAAUAGUCAAGAAUGUCAAGAGCUUUCAAAGAAUUAUGUUGUUUAUUAUUUUCCUAUCGAUGACUCUAUAUAUCCUGAAUUUACAGUUGUAUCAAUUGAUCUUCCUUGUUUAGUAUGUGGUGAGAAGAAAAGGAUUGCUACCAUGCUUUUGUAUGAUCAAUGCCAAUAUUAGUGGCAUAUAGCAUGUUUGACACCACUUCUUUCGAUUCUUCCAUCAAGAGAUUGGAUUUGUCCUUGUUAUAAGUCUUUUAGCUAUGUCUCAUCUCUUGAUAAGGAUUAAAGAUUUCUUCUAUUGUAUGUGUCAUGCACAUCAAUGGUCUAGUUGCUACAACACUAGUUUAGAGGAGUACAAUUUGGUUAUCACAUCAUUGUGACGUUCAUCUUUAAUGAUGUAUGUUUUGUAGUCUUAGUUGACUAAAAGAGCUCCUAAUCAACUGAAAGGGCACUUAAGAGUGUAUUAGAUGUAUCUUUGUAUUUGGUUUAAAUUACAUAUUACAUGAUUGGUUUGUACUACUCAAUGUGUUGUAUGUGGUAGUAUUUGUUUACAUAAUAAGGAAAAUCUAAUACAUUAUAUUUAAAAUAUAUUAAUUUAUUUUACUUAUUUUUUUUUAAAUUAAUAUAAAAUUAUAUUUUAUUUUUAUCAAUAAUUAAGUUAUUAUUUGCAAAGUUUAUGUGUUCUUUACUUAUUAGAAGAUGUAAUAUUAAAAUUAUUUUAUAAUAUAUAUAAAUGAAUAAUAUUAAUGUAAUGAUAGCUAAUAAAAAUAUGUCGUCUUUUAAAUAUAAAUUAUUAAUAAUCACUAAUAUUUGAAAUUACUUACAUUUUUAAUUUAUAAAACCAAUUAUUACUAUUAAUCAUAGAAAUAACUAUAAUAGUAAUUAUAAUAAAUUAUAAUCAUAAAUUAAUUUUAUUAUAAAAAUAUAAUUUUAUUUUAAUUAUAAUAUAUUUUUAAAUAAAAUAUUUAUUUAUAAUACAAUAUAAUAUAAAUUUUUAUUUUUAUUUUAUUUUAAGAAAAAUAGAUUUUUAAAUGCCUAUAAGAAGAAAUUAUGAUUAUUUAGAUAAAAAUAUAUAUUAUUAUUAUUUAGAUAAAAAUAAAAUAUGUAGCUUUAAAUUAAAUUAUUUAUGUUAGUGAAAAUCACAUUAUAUAAAAAAUUUAAGUCGUAUUUUUAAUAUAAAUAUUCUAUUUAAGCUUUAAAAUAUUUUAAUAAAAUUCUAGCUUGAAUUAUUAUAUUUGUAGCAUAUCUUCAAAUUAGAGCAUAUUUUAAAAAUACUUAAUGUAUUUCUAUAAGAUAUUAAUGCUUUAGUUUUUACUUUGAUUUUUUUCUAAUUUAGAUUCUCAAAAACAAUCUUAUAACAAUAAAGUCUAUAAAGAGAUAUUUUAUUGUUUAAUAUUUUAUCAUUUCAAUAUUUUAAUAUAAAAAUAAAUUUAAAAUAUUUUAAAAACUAUAUUUACGAAAAAAUUCAUCUCAAUUUUUUAUUAUAAUAUAUAUGACUAUCUACAUUAUUUGGUGGAAAUUCCUCUUUACCUUAAUCUUUCAAAAGUUUGUAAAAAAAAUACAUAUAUAAAAUUUAAAAAAUAUAUUUCAUUAAUUUUAUUGAUAGCCUUUACUAUAUAUAUAUAUAUAUAUAUAUAUAUGCAUGCCCAUACAUGCACAUUAAUAUUCAAAUGUAUUUUUUUAAUUAUAAUUAAAAUAAAAGAUCUAAAAUAAAAUAAUUAAGUUCUUUAACAUGAGCUUGUUUAUAUUAAUUGUUCAUACUAUCACUUUACAAAAUUCUUAUAUUAAAUACUUUGAUUUAUUUUUUUAUUACAUUUCUGAGCCUAAAAAUUGAAUGGAUCCACCUAAUAAGCAAUCUUAAAUAACAGUAUUUGUUGGUCAUUAGACAAAAUAUCACAUUAUAUAUAAACUUUACUUAUUCCGUGUAGCCAGUUGCAAAUUUUCAUUCUGCACAAACAAAACUCUUGAAGCAUCCCUCUAGGGCUCCAUUUGCCCUUCACACUUCACAUAUCCAUAUUUAUUUCAAGAUUUAAUAUGGUUUUUUCUUUCAAAAAUAUAUAGAGUUGGUAAUCAUUUUGGAAAAAAAUAAAAAUAAAAACAAAAACUCUUGUUUAUCCAUUGUACAUCAAUCAUCCAUUUUAAUUCAACUCCGUCAAAAGUUAUUCGUAACUUAUACAAGUUGAAAAAUUUGCCAAAUGCUGGCUUCUGCACUUCGAAGAGCUCAAUAAGUGACCCACGCUUGCCAUUUUUACUUGCAGUAGAAACGACCGUCAAACUUCAAUCACCUUUAUUAGUGCAUAUAUAUAUAUAUAUAAGACUGUGUGUGCGUAUAUUUUCACAUGCACAUAUCAAAAAAUAAAACAAAGAAAACAGACAAGUUUGCCAAAUCUGGAAUGAGCAUCACCCACUCCCACAUUCAAGCUUCUAGUCUGAGAUGCGCACGAACAUCGACACAAACUGGAGGGUGGUGGAGAAGUCGAGAAGGAGCGGGGAAAAACAAAACAAAACAAAAAAACGAAGUGAACGGCGUGGGAUGAAGCUGGCAUGCGAAGAGAAUAGAGACGAGAAGAGACGAGAAGAGAAAUAGUAGUAGUUGGAUGUUGUUGUAAUAUUGCAAGGCUGGAGUGACGCUUGCUGUGAGUGCAAGAUGAAUCCGAAGGCUGGAGGUAGUGGUGGUGGUGGUGAUGACGAUAAUGAGAAAGGAAGGAGGCAAGAGAGAUAAUGUGCUUGAGGGCUAUUUGGGGCCAGAUGCUGGUUGAUGCUACUUCAACUGCUGUUGCUGCCUGCGGCGGGUCAAGGAAAAAUGUGGUGAGGAUGGCCCUAAAAGCUCCGCUCCGCACAGUAGGCUGAGAAAGACACUGCAGCAGCAGCCCAGAGCUGCUGGCCCCACUGUAAUGCUCUUUCAGGGCGCCCCGGAUUAUCAGACCGACCAUUGCAGUUCCGAAGGCGGCGCUCGGGCCAUUCCUCUGCACACUCUACAGAGCAGCUAUGUUUAGAGAGGGGUCUGAAUUCCAGACAUGUGAUUUGUUUAUGGUUUUCCAUUUCCCUCUUUCUAGCUCGGAUGAUGCGCCUUUCGCUUCAUGGUGAAUUCCUGAGCUCGCAAACCAGGGCCUGCGAGGAGGCGGCAGGUAAAACGCUCUGUUGCCUCUGCAACCCUCGUUAUUGUUGCACUCUGGGCGGCUCCCACUAACUAAUUGUUUAUUUGUUUAUUUUUGUUCUUGACAGAAAGUGGAUGCAUUGAUUAGUGUGAGUAGUACCAACAACUGCUUUCUGUGCCUACAUCACCUCAAUUGUAGGGCAUGGAUUGAAAGAAUACCAUUUCAGCCUAUCUACUGUAUGUGUGUAAGUUGUUAUUUUGAUUCUUCUAAAGUAAAGAGUCAUAUUUUUGUUUUUUGUUGUAGAACUCUGUAAUUUUGAUUGAUUUUUUUAUAUUCACUUUUAACCCAGUACUACUCUAAAACGAUUGAGAUCUAUUUAUAUCAUAAUAUUUUAUAAAUAAAGGAAUAAUAAUUUUUAAAAAAAUGUUUGGGAGUAGUUGUGUUGUUUUUCUAUUUUAUCUCAAGUGAUUUCCUUCAACGUUUUUCCGUGCUCAACAAAGUCAAAUUAGUUUUCUGCGGCUUUAUUGUUUUACUAUAUCUAAAUUAUGAGCAUAAGUCUCUGAGUAUUUACUAUAUUUUGUUAAAUUAUUUAAAAUUUGGAGGGAUAUCUUUUGCAAAUGCUGUUUAUUUCACGAAAGAAAAUUUAUAUGGAUUUUUAAAUGUUAGAACUAGUUGAUAAUUUAUAAAUGAUAACAGUGAUUUAAUCCCAGUUUUAUUAAGAUUGUAGAACAUUUCCUAUAUUUGUGCAACAUUGAUUAUGAUUUUUCUAGGGCACAAAGUUUGUAUAAUGUAUAAAUCUCAAUCAAAACAUGUACCAAUCAUGUAUUAAUAACUCCAAAAUGAUAUAUGAGCUAUGUAAAAAUUUCUCCCUUCCUAAACUCUUGGAUUAAUAAACACAUUAUCCUUAGUAAUGUCAAAAUUUAUGCUACCAUUUUUCCAAUUAAAGUCCAAACAAUAUGCAGACUUUGCAAAACCUUCUUCCAUCCAAAUUUGAUACUGUAGGUAAUUAGAUCCAAAUGACUAAUAAUAAACAUUCGGAUCAAAUCGAAGUGCCUCAAUUGUACGCUAAAAUAACACAAGAUCUACUUCAACUUGUUCCCACUGGUUUCGAUGCAGGAUUUGGCUCUUGGUAUGGCAUCUUAUUAUAGAAUCCUCCCAGAAGCGAUCGAUACGUACGCACGACUGUUGACGAAUCUGGAGGUAGUCGAUGGUUGUUAUCUCGGUGGUUGUCUCUACGUGAUCAGUUUGUAAUUUUUCAAAGUAUUGUAUUUAUUUUUCCCCUCUCCCUUUUUCCUUCUCAUUUUUCUUUUACUCACUUUCACUCAGUUACUUUCGUUGUGAAAUGCCUCAAAAAUGCUAGAUAGGAUGAGGCUAUUCUAACGCACAGUUUCCAACGAUUUGAGGUCCAUGUUGUCCGUGAAUACCAAUGAUGAGGCAACCCAGGAUUACCACGAGGGAAUGGGAACUGUUGUGGCACUGAAUUUUCUUCACUUACUGCAGCAAACCUGCGUGCCAGUUCAUAUGUAAAUCUGGGUGUUCGUCACUCAGUGACGAGUGGGCACUAGUGUCCCAGCUCUCGAUUUUGAAUAGUCUAUACCAGCUAUUCCAACAAGUGGAAUGUGUGUACCUGUGCUUCGCAUCAUUCCCUUCCUCUUCACGUGGUCGUCAUAUCAUGUUGAUGCGGCAUGUUCCGUGCACCCACACCAAAAAACCACUGGGAUCGACACAAAAUCUCUGACGUUUCAACACUCCACAUGUUGUGAAAGACAUCCUCAGAAGUUGGGGGAAUAAACGCAUCUCCCACUCCAAGUUGGGAGCGAGAAGCCGUGCAAAACAGGGAUCACUCAACCAGAAAGUCAUCCAAGGCCCAAACGGGAGCCUCGACAUCACCUGGUGCGGCUCCCUAGGAAUCCACAUUCCGCAUCAACACGACAUGAUUCUAAAUCGCCUCGGAGCGUGCAACCGGGAGAGGAAGAAGCAGUCUGGUUUCUGAUACACAAAGCAAAGCAUGGCACCUAGCCGGAUGCCAGAGUGUCGCCUCUGGUGUGUCGGCCUUACAAUAGCUUAAAAAGAUACACGCAUCGAUCAGCUUUCCACGUGAUCGAACAUUUCGCAGUGAGCCAAACCUUCGAUUAUUGCGUGUCUCCCCGGCUUUCCCCCCACUUCCCGCCAGGCGAUGUCCCUUUUCCCCUUCGCCCAUCCAGCCUAAUCUUUUCAUUGCAACUGGUUUCUGUUGGGCCUGGAAUCUUGACAACAGUUUUCAGCUUCUGUUUCUGUUACUUGAUUCAUUCCCUGUGCAGACUUUAUUUGUGUGCAAACCUAGACUAAAGGUGGAGAGAGGUUAAGGUAGAUCAGCGGUUGCAGCUGGUGACUGUUCGGCAGCUGGUCGGCACAGAUUUUGUCAGAUGGGUGGUCCUUGACAAUUCGGGAUGGCACCGAAUAAGGGCGAGAACAUUUGAUGGAGACAUUGUCUCGUGAGCAUCGCUGGUUCCAGGAGGAUCGGCAGAUGGAUCUCAUUUCUAAAGGCUGGUUUGAAAUUUGCGUCGAGCACUCCGCUCACAUUUCAAAGUUAUCCUGGUCCUCAUUCACGUUGUAAACUAAUUUCGAAAUCCUUAUUCUGCGCAUUAUUAUUCCUGUUGCUAAUAAACAGAUGAAAAAUUCUGUCUAAGACUCAUAGAUUUGUAUGUAAUUAUAACGAGCAUAAAGAGAAUGUCAGUAUGGUUAACUUACCUCUACAUGUUUAUAUGUGUAAUUUUUUUUUUGUUUAUUUAUUCUUUUUCUUCAAACAAAAUCAUGAUGUAGAUGUGGUUAUUCUGCGACGGUUUCGUGAAUUCCGGAGGAGAAAAAGAAAAACCUACAUGAUGUAAAGCCUAUGUAACGUGGAUAUCUUCUUCAAAUUUUCAUGAUGGUUUUGGAUUAGUUAUAAAGGGUGCGAUGUAUUACAGCCCAUAAUCACGAAGUCAAAUGGAAACUUUUCUGCAUUCUCUUACAUUUACAAAAAAAAUAAAUAAACAAACAAGUAAACAAAAAAAAUCAUGCGCAUCUAUUGUUGUUAUCGAAGGCAUCGCAACUUUACAAUGCCAAACAAUAAACACAUAAAAGAGUAAACAUAAAAGGACAUGAACAUGAUAGAUAUAUGCUUUUGUUUCUUUAAAUCUUUUCUUUUUUGACUUUUUGUCUUUUUUGACACCAAAUUACUCAACCAAUCCACGAAUAUGCUACAGUUAAUGGCAGAUGACUUGAAACCCCACUUUCAACAUGGCUAUUAAUAUUAUAAAGAGUACAAAACACAUACUUUUUGAAGUAAAUACUUCAGCUAUAUUGUAAGUGUUGGAUACACGUACCAUUUUCUCUAGAUAGUAAAAAGUAAAUGGUCAGUUUAUUCAUAGUUAAAACAAACUCGGCACAAUCAAAAUAUAUUUACAUAUAUCUUCUAUGAUUUCCGAGAUUUUUUUCGAAAAUAAGUCGAAAGAAGAAAAGCGAAGAAAGAGUAGACACACAAGCUCAAUGAUUCAAACUUGGUCGAAAUAUCUUGGACCAUUUGUUAAGAAAACAAAAUAAAAUAAUAUCCUUGGUUUCCAUGUGUUGAUUGAUGCUGCAAGCAUCAUUACCAAAUAUUUGGUAAAUUAGACCGCUUCUCAUCCACGAAAAGCUUGAUGAUGAAUGUCAAGCACGCGCAUCUGCAAUGCUCCGCCAUCUGGAUUUGGAAAUGUUACAAAUAAACUCAAAAUCAAGUCCUAACUCUGCACACUGAUUAGCGGCAGCAAGGGACAGCGCUUGUCAGUGACAUCAGGGCCACCACAACUCAUGCUAUGAUUUCACGAUUACGACGAUGCAGCACCUGUAACUAGGUCAACUCCCCCCCCCCAACGGAGUUACCACGGACAAUGCCAUUACUAUCCUUAUUUGGGUUCGAAGCAAAGUCACAGGUGUGCAGAAUCAUGACUCCAUUGAUAUCCACCCAAAGUCGCUGCAAUCUCCGCCUGGCAGUUUGCCUGCACCUUCUGGGUACCGGUCAUCUCCUGGUCAAUGCCGAAACAUCUUACCGUUAAGUAAAACAUAACUGUAUGAGGAUGGUUUAGAGAUUUUAACAAGGACCUUAUCGGAGGGAGGGGUUAUUACUGAACCGCAAAGGGAAGUUGACAGUCAAAACGCCAGUUGGAACACCAGCAAGAAGCUGCGGAACCCGAUGUGGCAAUGUGGUUAAACUAUGAAUAGCUGAACAAGUAUUAAUAGCUUGAAAUAGUUACGGAUACGGGAGGGUUGUUUCUGGUAAUAAACAAAUAAUACCCCUCAGAAUUGCCAGUGUCCCCAUUCACGCUACCUACACCGAUAGCAUAAGAUUCCUCGCGAAAGGUGGGUUUUUUUCUUAGUGGGAGCAUCUUGUCCAAACUUCCAUUAAAACCACUCCCUCCCUCAUCACCAACCAAUUGCUUUUGAUGUCCCAGUUUCGCUCUUCCUUCAUUCCUUCCCUCCAUCCCUCCUCCUCUCCAUUUGCUCUUUACGUCAGUCCUCCUGCGCAUUUAAGUUGCCAAACACCCCCCCCCCCUUUAUCUAGUUCUUUUGCGCUUGUGCAUGCAGUGUUCUCUAGACUGUUUAUUUUCAAAUUUAGUUUGCGACUGUCGGAAGCAGGGCGCCGAGGCGAUAAUGUGGAGUGUCCGUCUGCAAUAACAGCGUGUGACGAGUUUCACGGGUGGGGAUCAAGUGUGCAUUGAAGGAGAGAGAGAGAGAGAGAGAGAGAGAGUAGUGGUAGUAGUAAGAGUAGCCCAGGAUGAGUCCGCCAACCUCGGUGCGCAGCACUGUCGCCAAGACAGAGAACGAUUUGGCCGAAAAGGUGGCUCUUUCUAUGAAGGACUCAGGGUUUCGGUUUGGGUUGAGGAAGCAGGUGAAUGGCAGUAGUAACCCUUCGUUGAAAGUAAGCAAGGAUUCUCACCGGAUCAGGAAGCCGCCGUCGCCACUCCCGCAGAUACAGUACCGUCCCCCGAUCAUUAUUCAUACGUAUUCGCCAAAGGUGAUCCACACCCAGCCGGAUGACUUCAUGUCGCUUGUCCAGAAACUCACAGGUUCCAGUGAUACCAGGUUGCGAUUUAAGAAGACCUCUAACAAGGAAAACUCUGGCACCCGCAAGGAUCAUAAAUCUUGUGAACCUUGUGGCGGAGUACAGUCCACAGAUUCAGCUAGUCUCGAGCGACAAGGUGUGCACUAGCUCUACUAUCCUUUGUUUGUUUCAUUAAGUGCACGCCAAUUCAGGUCAGUAAGUCUCACUUGGAAGGAAUCGGUUCUAACUGAGGAUUUUGUUGAUCUUGUUGCGAGUUCAGGGUCAGGAUCGUCAACUACUACCAACUGUGGCUCGUCCUCAGUCUCUGAUGAAUCUGCUGUUCAAGUCUCUGAUUCUUGCGAAGGUGAGGUAGGUAUCAAGCAGUCCAACUCGCCAAGGAGUCCCUUAGACUCUCCCUUCGAAUUCGACAACAGCGACCCCAUGUUCUCUCCGUUUGAUUUCCCUACAACACUCGUCAGCAGCACGUUCAAUUCCCACACAGUCAAGUCGGAGCCGAUGUUUUCAUUUCCAAAAGAUAAUUCCUAUAAUUUCUACACCGACGACACGAACCCGGCACUUGUCAAGCCAGUUUCGGCUGGGUUGCCGAAGAGUUUCGCCCGACCCCAAACGCAACAAGAAUUGGUCAAUCCGUAUGGGAACUUCUACACAAACUCUUCUGUCCCAUCAUCGAGCUACCUUUCCUCUAGUCUCAUGACUACUCUACCUGAUCUCUCAGCAGGUACCCAGAGCUGGUCUCAAUCUUUUCUUGACUUACCUUCUAGCCCCGUUCACUCGGGCUACUUCGGGCUACAGGCGCCGUAUCAACGCCAGCGCCCACUCCAACAAUACGCUGGAGCAUACUCUGCGUCGUCGGAGGGAAACAUGGUUGCUCUGGAGAACAUCCACACCUUCAUGAUGACAUAAUCUCAAGUUUGAAUUCGUUAUAUCUGCGAUGCUUCGGAGGCUGGCGCUUUGUAACAGAGGUUUCGUGCCAAUGCCUCAAAAUUUUUGGUGGUGUAUCUAUCUCUUGAAGGAGGGGAGCCAACGGAUAAACAUGAUGCUUUAGGUUUUAGAAGAGUGUACCAUGACUGUGAGGGGUAGUCCGACAUCAGCUUGUAGAGCCCUGUACAUUGUAGGCACAGAAGGUUAGGAUACUAACCAACAUUGACACGGGUAGGUAGUUAUUGGACUUCAGCGCGGAAGUUAUGUGUUGCUUGUAGCGGGAGCGUCACGUCAACGACAAGUUUACAACUUAGUUUUUGACCGGGAGUGUAGAGGUCUACACGACGAUGCCAAGUGUUUCGUUAUCAGGGUAGAGUUGGGCUCAUCUCGACGUUGAGAUAAGGAUACGUCCAAACAGAAAGAGAGAUAGGGUAUUCAGAGAUGGGUCUUCUUCAAGAUGGCGGGUCACAUCUCGUGUUGUAACAUAAUCACGUUUACGAUUGCAAUUACAGCAUGCCACUGACCGGAAGUACACUCUUUUGCAAGCACAUACUCGCAGUCCACCAGUCUCAUUUCUGCAGUCAUGUUCAUUGGUGAGUACUUUCAUCGAGAUUUAGCUCUCCAUCUUUGGGUGCGCAUUUCCGGAGAAAGCGGGGUAAAUGUGAUGCUGCGGUUCGAGAAAUGUGUUCCUUACACUGGAUGUACAACGUUCACCACUGCAUCACGUUACAACGAAUGAGCCGUUGGACAGUUCUAAGGGAGUUGAAUGUUACUGCCGAGUGUGCUGGGCAAGUACUUUUGAGCUGCAUCAUUUAAGUAGUGGCUAAAAGCCGGCUUGCCCUUGCGCCAGACGUGUCACGGUUUUUUGGUUGGUGCCUAGUUUGUGUCUCAGAAUGAAUGUAAUGAAUCCUGAGUUACACAUCACGUCGCAUAUUGAGUCGUUGUUAGAAAUUAUACUCGAUUUUGCUCGGGAGUCGGAUCACAAUGAUAUUAGUCAUACAAAAUGCCAUUUCUGAGGUUUGCGUUCAUUCUCCAAACGAACAGCACAGUCGACAGUUUCUGCGUGUAGUCUCAUUGCUGUGAUAAAAGAGCUCUCCUGCGACUAGCUUAUAUCCUUGUAACUCCACAGAUUUUGGCACACCGAUCUACAUUCUGAAGCCGCUUGUGAUUCACAGAUUGCAUCCAGGUUUCAUCGUUCUCACGCUUGUGCGUGCAGGUUCCACAAAUGCCCUUUUAAUGGGUAGUUUUUCAUGUCUCGAUUGCACCCCACCUAGGAAUACCAAUCAACCAUAUCAUCCAGCCUCAAUGGGUGACGACAAGGCGCGUCUUGUGCUCAGGAAGGUUGAAGCCCGAGUACCAUGUAGAGAUUAAAGUCAACACAAAAAAAUUGAGACGCUAACGAUAUCUCCUCUACUACUACAACACAUUUCAGACAUCAAGCACUUGGCGAGACCUAGUGCAGCCACACUACGCUGUCCUCGAGACACUCUGGCUGCCAAGUACUGAAGAUCUAUGGCCCCCUUGUGCACGCCUUCCAACACUGUCACUGUUACAAUUUAGUGAUAUGCAUACCAUCAAUGUCCAAAGACGAUCUUCUGCGAAAUCAUCCAUAGAUCAUCAUCGCAGAUUCCAAAGGAAAAAUAACGAAGCAGACUCUGCCCGUGCAUCAGUCGAAUACAAUGAAAACAUACGCAUUCGAAACCGGACUUGCAUGGGAAGCUGACACCUCGCAACUUUAGCAUACCGAAGGAUAUGAAGCUUUAGAUGUACAACUCUCCCCUUUCACUUUUUUUCGUUUUGUUUCAUGUUUUUUUUGUUUUAGAUCUCCUGGUUGGUUCGGAGCAUAGGCAGGUAUGAGGACACAUUUCCUACAACAUCCACCGAGCACCAACGCCUCACUCUCUCGCGCUCUCUCUCUCUCUCUCUCUCUCUCUGCCUUUUCGACCUGCUAAGUUUUGUCUUCUGUUUCCUGCUUUUUUCCUUUUAAGAUAUGGUCCUCCUUGUGAUGAAUGAUACUCAUGAUUCCUGUCUGGUCACUUGGUGGGCCAUGUCCUUUGGUGGCGUUGCUAAUAAAGACGAUGUGGCAUGGGACUAGGCGACAAAACUUGCCGCCCAGCUACAUCGCAAUCUAAUCUAGACCGUAGCUGUGCAUGUUGCAUCUUUAAACCCAGAGGGGGACACAACAGUACACAUCAGGAUGCAAAUGUACACAAUUCAAUCUCCAGUAAUUGAGAUGCUUUUGGUCUAUUUUAGCAUGGGUUGUUGUUCUUCCUCCUCCUCUUCACCCGCUUGACUCAGCUACGAACUGUGCGGCAAUUGUUGCAAAGUUGCCAGCAGUUUAUCCGUCUUUGUUCUGCUUUUUGUAUUGGAUACCCUCUUUUGGGUCUGUAUGCACAUAUACACUUUGACAUUAGACAUUUGACUAUUACUUCUCUGAUAUCACUUUAUUUCUUUACUAUUCGCUUUAAGAAUCGCCAAUAUUAUAUAUAUAUAUAUAUAUAUAUAUAUAUAUAUAUCUUCUUCAAUGUACAUGUAUAUAAUCAGAAUGAAUGCUACCAGUUUUAAGAAAUAAAAGUUACUUUAUUUCCUUUUAAAUUAAGGUUGAUUUGAUGAUGAGUGCUUUUUGAGUGACUGGUUUGUGCUCAUAGUAGAAUCUUGUGAACUUUUGUGAUGCUCACACCAUCAAUAUAUAUAUAUAUAUAUACAUGUUAACACACAUAUCAAUAAUAAAGCCACCUAAAUAAUAUUUUAUUUAAUAAAGCUUAAACAUAUUAAUGUAUACAUUAUAUGAAUAAGAUGAUUUGUAUACUAAUUUUUCAAUAAAUUCAUACUGUGUUAAUAUUAACGUGUAACAUAAUGUAUAUCAGAUAUUUAAAAAAAGAAAUUGACGUUAUGAGUAUUGUAGUUUUUAUAUAAAAACUUGCACGUUUUAUCUGAUUGUUUUGAAAUAAUUUUCUUUUGAUAAAUUAAACAUUCACAUUUUUGAAUAAUUUUUUUAGUGUUAAAAACUAUGCUAAUUCUACUGUGUAACUUUUAGAAUUGUCAAAUUUUCGCAACCUCAUCAAUGGUGGGCAUGCAAAAGACUAGUGUGUAAUAAACAUCUAUGUUUUCAUUAAUCUUAUUUAAUAUAUAUUUUCAAAUUUCAGACCUUUUUACACAAAUAUUUAACUUCAUAAAGAUUAGAUGUGAGAUUUCAUUAUUUUACUAUUUUAAAUUUUCAUAUUUAAGAACCUAAGAUAAGAACCCUUUCAAUAAUCUAAUUAUACUUGGUGAUAUUACUACUAAAUAAUUUACCAUCCAUAAUAACUUUAUAAUUUAUAUUUUUCACCAUGAGGUUAUAUAUUCAAACCUUAAUUUAUAUAAUGAUACUAAGAAACCAAAAAAAUUGUUAUAUCAGUAUAACUUACAAUAAACUAUGUUUAUAGACACCUCUGUUAGGAUGUAGUUAUCAUUCAAUUAAUAACACAUAGAAGUAAAAUAUAUAUAUAUAUAUAUAUAUAUAUAUAUAUAUAAUGUGCGUGUCUUUUUAUAGUAAUAAAAUAUGGAUUUUUUCGUUUUUUAAAAAUACUUAAAAAAACAAAAUAUGUGAACAUAUAUACUUUUAUGUGUAUGUAGGUAUAUGUAUAUAUAGCAUUUUUCUUAAAAUAAACAAACUAUCUAAUUCACUUUAUGUAUAUUUAAUGUUUAUGAUAUUUCAUUGCAAAAUGAUUUAAUUUUUUGACAUGGAGAUUGUUUUUAACACUAUUAUUUAUUUGAUCUACCUAAUUUGAGAUCUUUUUAAAAUGAACCUAUAUUGGUCUAAGUUCUAAACUGAUUUUUCAUAUUUUAGAUUAUUAGAUUAUGUACAAAAUAUAUCCCUUUUUUAAUAUUAUAUACAUGAGUAGUUCUCUUUAUAUAUAUUUUAUUAAUUAGACUUUAUAAAAUUAGUUUAUUUUAAAGUUGAAUGAAGAAUUUAAAUUUAUGUUGCACAAGUUUGUGGUUUGAUAAUAUAAUGAUUAUCAAAAAUUCUUGUUAAAAUAUUAGAAAAAUAUUUGAUGUUUAAUUUUUUUAAUAUUGAAUUAUAAAAUAUUGAAUUAGAUGAAAAUAAGUCUUUCUUAUCAUAGAAUAUAGCAAUUACAAUUAGUUAAUUAGUCAAGUAUUUGAUUUGGAAGGAUAGAUCAAUGAUUAGAGUUCUUGUUAAUAUUUUGUAUGGUCUUAUAUUUAAUUGAUACAAAAAAAGAAGAAGAGAUAUUUUGUAAUUAGAAGUAGAUACAAUCAAGAAGAGAUGAAGACAUAGAUCAAAUUUUACACAACAAUGUAGUUUUUUUUUUUUUUUUUUUUUUUCACUUCUUUUUUAUUUUGUUUUAAGUUGUGAUGCAUUAACUGAAAAUGUGAAAUCAAACUGGCAAUCAUUAUGAUAUUUAUCAUUUAAAAUAACUCUCUCUAUAUAUUUUAAAAUUUUGCAAGAAAAAUAUGUUGAAUUAUAUAUAUAUAUAUAUAUAUAUAUAUAUUAUCGUGGGCACAAUCAUUACUAAUAUAAAAGUGGUGGAUUGAUGUGACAAUGCUACUCUAGCAAGAAUAAGUGUUACGUUGCAUAAGAUAAGGUGAAUUUGUAUAUACAACAAAGAUUAAGAGAUACAACGAAGUCUUCUUACUACUUAGAAUUCACAAGAGCAGCAUGAGUUAGAAUGAUCUGUGCGAAAUAACACAAGUUUUCACUGCUUAAUGAUUCUGUCGGUAAGUUAGCCUCUCUCUCUCUCGAUGUAUAUAUAUAUAUAUAUAUAUAUACAUAUAUAUACCAAUAUAAAGAGAGAGAUUCAAGGCUGUAUUGUGGUGCAAUUGCAGUCCGGGAUGUGCUGAGCAUUCAACACCGAGUUGGCGAUCACGGAGCGUUGAAUGCCGCACUCCAUUUAGCCAGCAGCGGCGCGUUCGGACGCAUCCUCCGGAGGAUAAAAUCGCAGCUCCGCAUGAAGAAUCCAACCCCCCCACCUCCCCCCCUUCCCCUACUUCGCUUUUUCCCCACGUUUAAUAACAUCGAAAGGCUGCGGGGGCGAUGUGUUCGAGAUCGCAAUGCGAGGGAGUCCAUGUGCGAAACAGUGCAUACGAUGACGAUGACGACGACGAUGACGAAGAAGAAGAAGAAGCAGACGCAGUGGAAGCACGCGGACCUCUCCGCAUCGAUCAGCGCAAAGCCGGGCGUCUAGUAAAAUCUCGCGAGGUAAUCCCGAGGAAACACGCAGCAGAACCCGAAUCAAAAACCCACCUGGAGUCCCCGAUUCUAGACGAAGGGGGCGAGAGUGGAAGGAUCGCAGGGUGCGAACGUGUGGCGGUCUAGAUUGGUGCUUGACCUGGGUGGCCCCCGACGAAUGGAUCCACGCUUCGCUUCCUUCAUUGCUUACGACGAUGCGACAAUCGACAGGGAGAAGAUUACGAGGUGGAUCGAUCGAUCGAUUGAUGUGGAAGGCGUUCAUCGCUUCCGUGCCCUGAAUCCGGGCUCGCAGGGGAUCCUCGGAAAGUGGUUCAUGAAGUGGGUCUCACCCGCUUGGCCUCCGGAAAACAAAGCUUUGUUUCCCUUCUUCUUAACUUUGAAUGAAUGAAUGAAUGAAUGAAUGAACCCCAUCAUGGUAGAAUAGGGUUGGGGAUGGGCUCUAAAAGUGGGGGUUUUAUUGAUAGGGGGCAUCAUAGGAGGACAAUACUUCCAAGGCAAAAUGAUUAGUGAGUGCUUCUCCAUGCAAGGUGGACAUGACAUGUGUGAAAUAAUCAAUCUCACAAUGUUGCUUUUUGUCUCAAGAAGAUAUUGUUUGUCUAAAGAAUUUUUGAAUUUUUGAAUUUUUGUUUGUUCUUAUUUGUUAAAUGUGGUUGUUUUUGGUGUUUUGUGAUGGCUGCUUUUGAAUUCUUAGUUUCAGAAAACUUGUAGAGUGUCUUAUAAAGACAUCAUUAAUAGUCCAAUCUCAUGUAAGGAAAUUUAAAUUAUGUUUAUAUUUAGACAUUGUGUGUGAGCAAAUAUAUAUAUAUAUAUAUAUAUAUAUAAUUUCUCUUUGUUAGUUUUCCACAAAAAUGGCUAGAAUUUUAUUUAUUUAUUAUUUUAAAAAAAUCAUGAUUUUUUUACGAAUAUAUAUAUAUAUAUAUAUAUAUAUAUAUUAAAUACAGUUUUGAAAAUGUGUUCAUUUAUUUUUGUAUUCUUAAUAAUAAUUGUAGACCAGAAGGAUUCUUCACCUAAAAAUUUAUUUAUUUUAUUUUAUUUUAUUUUAUUUUUUAAAAUAUCAAUAUGAUUUAUGAAUUUUAUGUAUUUAUACUUUUUUGAUUGAAUAAAACGAAUUGGGUACUAAUUAAUUUGAAAAAAGAAAAUGCCCAACUUCAAUUAUCUAUCUAUCUAUCUAGACAUAUGAUUUUUUUUAUCAAAAUAUGAAACUUAUGAAAUUUCAAAGAUUUAUUCGAACUUUUGUUAUCAACAAUCUUAGUACUUUUAUUCAUAAUAGCUUGCAACACUAAAGCCCAUGAUCUUACAAGAAAUCUUCCUUUGGACUGGACAUUCAUCUUUUUGAAUCGAAAAUUAAUUUCAGAAAAAGAAAUUACAAUUAAUAUUUGGUUUAUUUAGGCCCAACUAAUGUGGUAUGUCGUUAAAUAUAUAUAUAUAUAUAUAUAUAUAUAUACAAAUUUAUCUAUAAGCUGAAAUAUGCAUUAAAUUUUUUUUAACUAUAUUUAAAAAAUCAAUCACCUUCCAAAAACCAACCUCAUAAAAUAAUAAAAAUGUGUAAAAUAUAUACAAAAAUUAAGUUUUUAAAUACAACAUUUGCUAAACAUGUCGGUAUUCUUUGUGAACAUUCCAUAUAUAUGCUGGCUCAAAAUUAAUUAUAAUUAAUUUUUUUUAUAUGUGAUCAAGUAUUAAUAAAAAACUAAGAUUUGUUGGACAUCAAACUCAUUAAGUCGUUUUUAUGCUAAUUACGGAAUGUUUAAGUCAACGAGAAUGCUACAUAUUCUCCCACUCUGAACUUACAAUUCGAUACAUCUGUAUACUGAUAUGCCCAAUAAUUAAACACCUCACCAGGAGCUAGAAAUCUCUCUUUGUUGAUUUCAUUCAUUUUUUACAUACAAAUUAUCAAAAAUUAAACCUCUUAGAACUGGUUUAUUCGAAGGAAAAUGUUGUAAAUUGUAACGUGAGACUGGACUUCGACGUCAAAGUUACAAGCAAGCUCUAUAACGAUGUGGUUGCCAAGUAUUGACCAGUUCACAACCAAAAUGAGUGUGAAAAUUGAAUUUUAGCGAAGGCUAAAGCAAUUUCUGUGAUUCUAGAGCCAAAAAUAUGCACUCUGCAUUGAACACACUGCAAUCUGCUUGUGAUCCGAAGGCUUUCUGCGUCUGUCUCAUCUCUUAACAUCCAGCUUUUCAUUGUCUGAUGCGAAGCCCUUCUGCAGCUCAAAUUGCAAACUAGAUGCAUGAUGAGUCUAGUUUAUACAACAACAUUCACAUCAACUCCUCUCCUUCAGGAUUCCUCUCUCCAAGCUUGGUGACCAGCUCUCCUCAGCUUUUCCUGAACACAGCAGCUUGCUUCAGGACUUUUCACGGCUGGUUGAAUUGCUCCUCUAAUUCCGUCCAUAAGCUUCCUCCCCAGCAACAAUGAGCCUAUUCUGUAGGCUACUCAGGUCGAUCCGAGGGAACCUUGGUCGCUGUCGUGAAUAUCCAAACUUUCGUUGCAACAUGACACGAUCCCCGAGUGUAUGUGUGUGUUUUUUUUCGCAAACAUGACGAUUUAUUCGUCGUUACAAAGUUUGCCCAUGAGAGUGAGGUUGACCAGUGUACGAAACACCAUUCCCUGCUGACUCUGCCCCAGGUCGAGUUCCGCCCAAAAAGAUGAAUUCUCUCAGGAAGGAAGCUAACAAUAAUGCUCACAUAUUUCCACAUAGUUGAGCUUCUCAAAUUCAACGUCUCAUCCCGAUCUUCCAGAAGACACAUCUACGCCAGCAUCCAUAAAAUCAGGCAUCACCGCCGCUCAAAACCACUCCAAUUGCCUUAUUUCCGUUCUGGCAUUGAGGUCCAUGAACAAAACUGUCACAUACUAAUCACACCGUCGACAAACCUCAUAUCGAUAGAUUCAAGUUGUGCUUCAGUGACACUGAGAGGAGUUGUGGAUAGAACAGAUUCUCUCAACAGAUUCUCCGCUUCUUACAGAUCGUUUGCCAUAGCUGAAGCAUGCAAUGAACAAUUGUCACGUUCACCAUAUCAACUGAAAUACGGAUGGGAGCAUGUUGCAAUGACGAUCUCUGCUCUACAAAUGAUUUUUGCACUACAUAAUCGAAUAAUCUGCAGUAAUGGCUUCGGUUUCUUCAGCUUGAACCCAUCUACAACGUGUGUGGCAUUGCUGAUCUGGGCUCUGAAUUGCAAAGCUUGUGCCUCAAAAACUUGUUACUGAGAUUCCAACAGCUUGAAACAACACAUGUUGGUCAUUGAUGUGGGUAGAUAACCUACAAAACUUGAGCUUCCCACACAAUGUCCGUGUAAUUGUGGGAAGUUCCUGCAGUGCCUGAAGUGUGAGAAUGAAGCGAAAGAAAUGAAGCCUUAGUACAAGUCAUUGUGUUUCCAACAUGUGCAAUUACUGUUGCUCUUUAAUGGCAAUUUGGGUUUAGUAAGUGGCGUUUGAUACGUUUCAUUUUUAUCUAUUUUUUUCUUAACUUUAAAAAAAAAAAAAAAAAAAAAUGUAUAAAAUAAGUGAUCUAUGUUAUUGCUUGACCUUCAUUGUAUUUGUAUUUGUGUUAGUAUUUCUCGUAAGAAAUUUCUGAAGUUUUGUACUCUAUCUACUAUUGUAUCAUGUCUGUUGACUAUAUAUAUAUAUAUAUAUAUAUAUAUAAAAAAUAAAAAUUUAGAUAUUCAUUUGCACUGAUAAUUUCACAUGAAAUAAACAAAAAAUUGAACACAUGUUUGAUUUUGCAAUUGAGACUUGAUUCUUUUAUCUUUAAAUUCUAACACCAUAUCUAUUGAUGAGGAAUUGAUGAGGAAUGUCCUCUUUGAAAUAUUUGAAAUUUUAUUUUAAAAUUAUUUUUUGUUGUGAAGGAAAAUAUUUAAAUCCAAUUUUUUUAUACACACAAAAAAUAAUUUUGUAAUUUUAGAUUUAUUUAAUAAAAUAGAUUUAUAUAAUUCUUAAUUAUUACUUCAAAAUAAAACAUAAUAAAGGUUUUUGUACUGAAUUAACAAGUGCUUCUGAAUCGAAUGCAAUUUAACAAAACCUGCAAUGUGCAAAGUCAAAGUCUUGAUAAGUUGUAUGUAGAAAGUAAAUUACAAUAUCUUAAAUUUGGAUCUAAAAUAAAUGUUAAAUUUUAAUACAAUAUGCACAUGUAAGAUUGGUCUAAGAUUACAAUUGUUGUUAAUUUGAAGUUAGUUGUUUAUAAUUUAAGCUGUUACUUGAAGAAAUAAAUCUAUUUAAUAAUGUUCUUAUUAAUGAUAAAAAAAUAUGUUAAAAUUUACCAAUAAAAAAUUUAGAUAAAAAAAAUAUUUGUAUAAUAGCAAGGGGUUGCAAAGUAGAGGAGGAAGAUGGAGGAAGUGUAAAGUGGGGCUAAUUCCAUGUGGGAAUGGGAAUAGGGGGAUGUGGGGAAGUCAGGACAGGGGACAUGAAUGGGAACGGGGACAAAGAAUAGGAAACAAGGGAGGAGAAUAAGGACACGGGGGUUCAAGACUGGAGACAUGGAAUGAGGAAGAACAGGGACAUGGGAUUAGAAACAAGGGACAAAGAUGGGGAAUGGACGGAAUCAAUCAUGAGAUUGCAAGGAAUCUAAGAUUAACUUUUGAUAAUUGCAAAAUCACUAUUCAUUAAGUACAAGUUUUAAAGCAAGUAGUAAGUUAGAUUAUGAUGUAAUCAUAGAGUAACACAUCAAGUCAAGAAAAACUCGCAAUUGGUACUAAAAGUAUCCUAAAAUUUGGCAGUGGUCCAAGUGGAAAUAAUUUACAUUGAGUUUAAUAUCCACAUCAAAACUUACUUUCAACUGUUAUGCUACUGUCUUUUCAUGUUUUAUUAAGAAGAAUAAACGAAAAAAUAAUCUUUAAUAAAAAAAAACAAAUGUUCAGAAGAGUAUUUUCUUGUGGAAAGGUAGACUUUUUGGCAGCAUCCCUGUCGACAAGAAAAAUUAUUGGUGAUGGAUUCAGUUAUUUUUUGAAAACUCUAUAAACUUUCAAUAUGAACAUAUGUUUUGACAGAAUAUUGUUUGUAUGCAUCAAGUGUGUGCAGAUCUACAGUUCCCAUACUUUUGAUCAUUAGCGAACCAAAACCGUACGUUUUCAUUUGUUAAAAUAAGGUUUAUUUUCUCCAAUGCAUUAAAAAACUGCACCAAAGACUAUAUAUAUAUUUUUUGAGAAUUUCACCUUACAGGGUGGCUUCAGGAACGUUGUUUAAAACAAAAUUCUGAGUCACACGCUUUCACUUCUGAUGCCGCUUAUUCGUGCUCCUGUUUUUUUUAAAUCCUUGAGAGUGCAAUUAGGAAGCUGCACCACAGUACUUUCAUGUAUAUUCAUAGUCUAAACCACCAACAUAGAUUCAAGGACAUAAUUUCAGAUGUAUCUUGAAAACUUUCAGAUUUUUAGAUUACAAGUAAGUUUACCAUGAUGAUAAAUUAUAACUCGAAAGGUUUAAUUAUGUUCGCCAGAUCAAUGUUGAGAACACUUACAGAAAUAUAGUCUUGUUGGCAGACACUUACUAUUGAGCGAAUCAUUUUGGCGGUCUGGUAAACUGUCUUUCAAGUAGAGCCUCGGUAUAAGACCAUCUUUAAGGGAAAACGGUGGCUUCAAUCUCCACAGUCAGUUCCAGAGGCAGGUGCACGGAAGCACCGCUACAUAAUGAAUACAUUGAACUCCAUCCACUAACUCUUUCACUAAUACAUCCAAACGUCAGUCUAAACUUCGGCAUUCACAAAAGGUUGGGAUGUCGCCAUCAGUCACGGUGAUAAUGCUCCAUCUUUUUGUCAAAUUCAACACUUCAUCACAUUCUUAGAGAAUAAUCCACCCAAUCAACAAGCAUCCUAAUCAACAGACACUAAACAGAGUAAAAGAUCCAGACAAAAAUCACAAAACCAUUGAAUCAACAACCAAAACGAGAGAUGCUCCAUUAUCCACUAUGUGGAACCCACCAUAUAUUAUUAAUGCAAUGAUGACUACCACGUUUUGAUUAGAAAAAACAGCCUUCAGAAGGAAGCAUCAGGGCAAAGUUCGCCACUACUGUACAUCCAAUUCCUGAGGACAUAUCACAGAGAUACUCAGGGAAGGAAGCCGUAAAGUGGUUGCAAACUCUAUUACUUGAUGAACAGAGCAAAGCUUCUAAAACUCAACAUCUGGGGCGCUGCUUGGAUGUUUGAAAAGCGAACAUGAGCAAGUUAACGGAUGAGCAAAGUGGGUGUAAACAGGCAAAGAAUGCCGAAAAUACUUGCUUAUGCCAUAUCCUUAGCCAGCUUCUCUGCCUUCUGUGAAACCUCCUCAAUGCCGCCAACCAUGUAGAAGGCCUGUUCAGGCAAGUCGUCGUACUUUCCAUCCAACACACCCUGCACGUCAGGUUGAAGUCGUCAGGAACAGCACUAUCGAAAGUUGAAACCAUACUUUCAAGGGCAAACCUCUCUCGCAAUUACCGAAGAACCCUAAUCAAAACAAACCAGCUUCUGACAAGGAAAAUCACAACUACCACAUACCAACUCAUAUAAAACAGUCAUCUUCAAAUUUUCUUUGUCUCCCACAAUAGAAGUUUAAAAGGGCAUAAGUGGCUCACCCGGAAUCCAGCAACGCUGUCUUUCAAGUCCACGUACUUUCCAGGCGACCCUGUGAAUACCUCGGCCACGUGGAAGGGUUGACUCAAAAAUCGCUGCAUCUUCCUCGCGCGUGCCACAGUCAACUUGUCGUCUUCGCUCAGCUCGUCCAUACCCAAGAUGGCAAUGAUAUCCUGCAAGUUCUUGUAGUUUUGCAGCACCUUCUGCACAUCUCGUGCGCAGUAGUAAUGCUCCUCUCCCAAAAUGCGCGGGGACAGCAUACGGGAGGUCGAAUCCAAAGGAUCCACAGCAGGGUAAAUACCCAGCUCAGAAAUUUGACGAGACAGCACAGUCGUGGCGUCCAGAUGGGCAAAAGUAGUCGCUGGGGCAGGAUCCGUCAAAUCAUCGGCGGGCACAUAAAUAGCCUGAACCGAGGUGAUCGAUCCCUUCUGCGUUGUCGUGAUUCGCUCUUGGAGUCCUCCCAGAUCAGUCGCCAGAGUAGGCUGGUACCCCACAGCAGAUGGGAUACGACCCAACAGAGCAGACACCUCCGAAUUCGCUUGGGUGAAACGGAAAAUGUUGUCGAUAAAGAACAACACAUCCUGCCCCUCAGCAUCACGGAAGUGCUCUGCCACAGUCAGUCCAGUCAGACCCACUCGGGCACGGGCACCAGGGGGCUCGUUCAUCUGUCCAUACACCAGAGCGCACUUGCUCUCCAUCUUCCCCAACCAAACCCAACAGGUCAUCAUUAGCCUUCAAAGACAAAUAAAAGGUAACGAAUUCACAGAGUAAACCUACCUCUAAACCAUACCGUAACUGCAACAUAAAUGAUAGAAUAGUAGUGAUUUAUAUCAUCAGAAAGAUCUUUUCAGGAUGUCACCAUCUACCGCUCACCGCUACCCACUCGGUCUUACCUGCUUGUCACCCAGCUUGAUCACACCACUCUCAAUCAUCUCCUUGUACAGAUCGUUACCCUCACGGGUGCGCUCUCCUACUCCAGCGAACACUGAAAAUCCUCCGUGGGCCUUUGCAAUGUUAUUGAUCAGCUCCAUGAUCAGCACCGUCUUCCCCACUCCUGCACCGCCGAACAGUCCAAUCUUACCACCUCGCUGGUAGGGCGCCAAUAGGUCAACGACCUUGAUUCCAGUCUCCAAAAUCUCCAUCUCUGUUCCUUGGUCCACGAAGGCAGGGGCCUCACGAUGAAUUCCAAGAACAUGCUCUCGGCCUACAAGCCAUUACCACUCUUAGGAUUUCACUCUCCCAUCAGAACCAACACUAACACAGGGAUUCGGAACUGUAAACGCACAUCCACUUGAACAGCAAGUACAGACAAUGCUGACACCCAUCAAUUGUGCACUUACUGAUAUCGCCUCUCUCGUCGAUAGCUUCACCAAUGACAUUGAUAAUACGACCCAAAGUUGCACGCCCCACGGGGACCUGCACAAUCGGAGUAUCAAAUUACCCGUUCGAUUCAACCCGAUUCAAAAACUCAUGAUCUGAGAGUCUCGUGCAUCAGGAAUCUAAGCAGCACAUAAUGGAUUCAAAAACCUACUAUUCCCGCUAACUCGGAUGCGUGUGAUUCCUCGACAGAAUCAGAAUUUCCAGCUCAGAGUGAAAAUGUCAAAACAUACACUGUUUCCAAUCUGAGUACUUAAGAGGUUUCACAUCUCAGGAAAAAAGAACUCUAAUACUGUGUACCAAACGAAUUGUGGAACAUAUGAUUAUCUGGAAAGUUACAUGCAUAUCCUCUAAUUAAACGAGCUGAUAAUUAGCAUUAUGUCAUCAUGUAACAACACUAAAGAUACACGUUCGCAUAGUAUAACAUGAACAUGACCUGUAAUCUCAAUUACCGCAGAUUCACACAAGAAUGUUCGCGUUUAGUAAUUGUACCAAAUCUGAUCACCAUUCCACAAAAGUCCAUCACUAAAACACGGAACGGCCACAUUACACUCAGACGGCUACACAAAUCCAGAUGCAAUCAAACAGGCACAGAAGAGCCUUCGACCCGGAAAAUUCACCAAAACAAAAUAAACAUCCUAACCACCACCACAUCCACUCAACAAAGGUUCUCACCAUGAUAGGAGACCCGGUGUUCAACACUCGCUGCCCGCGAACAAGCCCAUCGGUCGUUUCCAUAGCAAUCGUCCGCACAGUGUUCUCUCCCAAAUGCUGCGCCACUUCCAAUACAACCCUCAGGUUGUGGUCCUGCACCUCCAAGGCGGUCAGAAUGGGUGGCAAGCCCUUCUCAAACUUCACGUCCACCACGGCUCCGAUCACUGUCGCAAUGGAACCCACGCUUCCAGCGCCGGUGAAGUCCGUCGAUUUGUUAUCUGUGGACAUGCUGCGCGCUAGCGCAGGUGUUACAGCCCUGACGCCCUGGAACAACGACGAUCGGGACAGGCCCUUGGCAGCCGCAUUCGCGACAGCUCUGCCAUUGGGGGCAUUGGAAGACACCGAUCUCGACCCCUUCGGGGUCUGACAAGACGCGAGCCUGCGUGAGCCAGCCCGCAGCGCAGCGGCCAACGCCUUGCGUCCCGACAUGGCCGUCUAUCACCCUACAAACCCCUCCUCCUCAGAAAACCAAAAACCCACACUCGACAACAAGCAAAAUCUCCCGCACACCCUCUAGGGUUUGCGCUCGGGGCUCCAGCACCGAAAACUUGAACACACAGGUAAGAAGAAGCUUUCCUGGCCCCUCUUGUGUCGCUGCGUCGCUGCCAUGCACAACGGGGCCAACCCGACUUCGAAGGGACAACGAUCAUCGGCAAACGAAUGAAGCUUCCGGGGAUCUAGGUUUUGCCUGGUUCUCAACCGAUCGAUAUCUGUCUAUUGGAUUCUGGGUAAUUCCGAGAUGCGGCGUCGCGGUUGGUAGAUCGCGCCGCGAUUGUUGUCAGUGCGGCGACGAAACUCUUGUGAGAUGGACCGAGUGAGUGUGAGUGCGGUGAGUGACAGAGUGAGUGACUGGGUAAUUCCCUCGUCUUAGUUACUUGCGGGUCCCCGUAAUCAACUCACUAAUCCUAUUACUAAGUGGGAUUAGCUUGCUCGUGUCCCUUUGCCUGUUCCAUUAGGGUUUAUUACAGUCGAACCAAGCGGGUGUUUUCCUUUUCCUUUAUCUUUUUCUUACUUUAGUUUAUUUUGUUUUAUCCUAUUCUUUUACUCUCUGCAAGCGGUGUAGGAACUCAACGUCUGGAAUUUAUCAUCAAAUGUUGUCAUGUGUUUGUUUGUUUUAGUGAGAAUAAUUAAAGGUAAUGUUUCUGAUCUUUUUAUUUUUGUAGGUUUCAUAAACAUGGUUCCAAUUUCUGUAAUAGUUUUUAUUUUUCAAAAAAAAAAAUUUUAAAAGAGAAAAUAAUUACCUUGCUGAUUUUUUUAUUUCUCGAACAAAUUUGUAGGGUCUAUGCAUCAGUGAUUGCGAGUCAUUCAUGCUACCUUCUGAGACUAGUCUUUUGUACUUUUCAACUUGCACCACAAAAAUUAUUGGUCAUAAAGAUAGGUUCUGUUUUGCUACCAAGAUGUUUAUAAUGCUGUGGGAAAAUGGACGGAUAAUACAUUUUAGAAAACAAUCUGGCAUUGUAUGCAUAUAUUUUCUUGAAGUAAUAAAAUCAAACAGAAAAAAAAAUUGUAUGAGUAAAUUAUUUUAUAUGGAUAAAGAAAGCAAUGACAUAAUAAAUGUAAAACUAAUAAAAGAAAAAUGCAUCAUAAUACAACAAAAGUAUAAUUUCGGACAUUACAUUGAAUUGUAAUCAUUUAACAAUCACAUAUUAACUUUUAUAUGUAUGAAUAUAUAUAUAUAUAUAUAUAUAUAUAUAUACGCUUAUGAAGCAUAUAUAAUAGUUAUAUUUCUAUUAAGAUUUUGAAAAAUUUAUACUUUUUCUAAAAUAUAUGUAAUAAAUAUAAAACAACAUAUUGCAUAUAUAUUAUUUUUUAAUUUAUUUAUAUAAAUUAAACUAACUUUGUAAAUUUAUACACCAUAGAAUAUUGACAAGAUUGAUUAUGUAUACAAAGUGACUUAUUAUUAUACUAGUUGUCAUAAGAGUUUCUUAAAAAAUCUAAAGAUGAAUAAUUUAGUAAUAUAUCUAUUUUAAUGUUAUAAUUAAAUAUUAAUUAAAAUCAGACAAGUGUAUCAUAUUUAUUUAUUUAUCAUUAAUAUCAUAAUUAUUAUGCUAUUGAUAAAUAAAAUAUAAUACAUAUUCUACUAUAAUUAAGACCUUAUGAAUUUUUCAAAAUAGAUUUAUUGUAAUUAAAUUCAAAAAAGAUUCACAAAGAUUAAGACUUUAAAAAUAUAAUUUUAAUUAAUAUCUUUAUUUUAGAAAAAUAUUAUGACCAAAUAAAGCCAUGUUAGGAUGUGUUCUUAUCAAAGACAAGAACUUGAAGAAUGUAAUUAAAGAAGUGAAAUGUGUUUCAAUAUAUAUAUUGAAGAAGAAAUUGGAAUGGUUACUACCAAAUACAAGAAUUAAGAUUCUUAAAACUAUAUUAAAUUAGAUUCUUAAAGCUAUAUUAAAAGCAAGAAAGGAAUUGACAAGAAUGAAGAAAUAAUCACUCCUAUUUCUAUAUAUACUAUUUAAUUAAAGAAGUAUGUGGCUACAUUCUAAACAUAAUUUAACACAUGUCUAACCAACGAGACAUGUGUCUAACUAGUAAGAUAAGUUUUCAACAUAUGUACUACAUGGCCAACUUAUAAAGCAUGUAGUCAACAUGUGCAAUACAUGGCCAACUCGUUAACUAAGUUUUCAAACUAUCAAUCACCCACAAGCAUUUUGGAAGUCAAAUCUAUGUUUAUGAAGCUUCUAAGAAGCUAUUCUAUAAGAUGGUAUCAAAUUUACCUACUUCUAUUUAACUUUUUUUAUCUAAAUAAAUACUAGUGUUAAUAUAUAUUUCUUUGACAUAACACUCAUUUUAAAGAUGAGUUCUAAAAGGAGCACUAAUUACAUGUUGAGAAAGUCUAUGAUACAACAAAUUAUAUUUUCCACAUACUUUGAUCUUUAUUCUUAACAAAUGUAGUUGAUAGGUCUUUUAAAUCUUUUGUAAUAUUUCUUACUAAGGUAAAAAGACCACUUUGUUAUUUGAUUAUUAUUAAGUUCUUCAUAACUUUUUUCAAGUAAACAUUUGGAAUGCCAUCAAAAGUAGUUUAUGUCUCCAAUAAUUUUAUUAAACAUUGAGAGGCUCUUCCAAAGUUGUGAUAUCAAACAUGUUGUAUCUCACCAUCUAUUUUAAAAAAAAUGUGUCAUUCUUGAGGAUCUUCACAUCUAUUAUGUUGUCUUAAAGUCUAUGAUAAUUUCAAUUGCUAAUUUAAUAACUUAGCAAAAAAUAAUUCUUGAUUUGAAUUUUUUAAUUAUUGAUUUAUCAUCUCAUUAAUAUUACAAAUAUAAAAAUAAAUCACAAAAAAAGGUAGAAGAUAAAAUGUAAUCUUUACUAAACUUGCUUUAUUUUAUAAUACAUAAUUGCUUAACUCUUCAUUUUAGUAUUCAUGGAUGAUGUCAAUAAAAAAUAUCAACCUUCAUAACUAUAAUUUAAAGUUUCUUAAAUGGUUGCUACAAGCAUUCACUAAUAUCAUAUUUGUAUCAACAUACAAGAUAUUCUAACAUAUUUUGGUCCUAGCUUAAGUUUAAGACUUCUUCUUUCUUAAAUUCUUAAUUGUUGUCUAUUUCUAUAGAAUGAAGUGGUAUCUAUUUUCUUUCCAAUAUAUGUAAUUUCUUUUAUGGCUAAAGAAAAAACAUAUAGAAUAUAAGAUAAAUCUUCAUAAACUCUAAUAAGUGUAAUUAAUAUGUAAUUAGAUUGAACUAUUUAGAAUAAAAAAUAAUCUAAGCUUUAAAGAAAUUUUCUCUCAAUAUUAGAGGUUGCAGAUUAUCUUCUUCAAAUUUGACUUAUGGAUUUGUUAAAUUGUUUGAAAUGGAAGAAAAAAUCAUUGAUGCUACACUCGAUAGAAGUGAAAAUAGAUUUGUAACUAUUGCAAAUCUUCACGAAUUUGUCAAUACUGUUAGAGUGGAAAUUUCAUGCAUUUCUGGUACCAAUCAUGAAAACACUAAUUUUAUGCCUAUGGAAGAAGUUCAAAAAUCUACAUUAAGAAGUUGUGCAGUUGAAGGAAGCAAGUAGAUCGACCUCACAACCAAAUCAAGGAAGUUUUACUUCUACAAGUAUGACAGAGACACAAAUAAAUAUGCUUGAUAAGUUGAACACAAUGAAAUCAAGUUUUCAAAGAUUUUUGAAAUAAGUCAAGCUCUAUCUAAGGUUGCAUCCUUUUCAAUAUCCUAAUGGAUGUAUUCAAAUUAGAUUCACAAAUAUACUUCUAUUUAAAUUUUAUUUAUUUAUUUAUUUAUUUUUAUUAUUAAUAAAAAAAGAUUCAUGACUCUUUUAUGAUUUAAAUUCAUUCAUAGAAGUAUUUACAACUACAUUUAGAAAUAGUGAUCAAGAAAAAGUAGCAAAGACUAAGCUUAUAUCUUUACAAUAAGGAUUAAGAUCAACUAUUAUAUGUGUUGUUAAAUUCCAAAACCUUGCUUGCAACAUGGAUUGGAAUGACAAAGCCUUGAUCAAUCAAUUUUGAUAUGGAUUGAAGGAUAACAUCAAAGAUUUGUUAUUGGUAAUGUCAAAAAUAAAAUCUUUGGAACAAUUUAUUGCUCAAGUCAUUGCAUGUGACAAUCAAUUAUUUGAAAGAUGUUAAGAAUAAAGACUUGCUUAAAGAGGAAUAAGCUAAGUAAUGACAAUAUUUAGAUUCUUAACUAAGUAAGAAAAGAUUUGAUGUCAUCAAAAGGGUUUAUGCUUAUAUUAAAGAGAAGCUAAGCACAUUGUUCAACAUUGUUAAAAAAAUAAUUCAAUCACAAAAUGAAGAAUACAAUUGCCAAAGAAGAUAAUGUAUUAAAAAACAAGUUUUUUCAACUGCAAUACAAAUUAUGUAGUUGGAAUCAUGUGCAAUACCUAAUAAAGGUCUUAUUCUUUCCUUAGAUCUUUCACCUUGUUUUAUAAUUGAUGUAUAUUUAGGACCUAAAAAUCACAAAGUCUUUGCAUUAUUAGAUUCAAGAGCCUCAGCUUGUUUUAUAUACAAAGAUUUUACCAAGAAACAAGAAAUAACUUUAGUCAAGAAUAAUUAAAUCCAUACAUAUAGAAGUCAUAGAUGGUCGUUUGUUGUCUUUUAGAGAUAUCAUUCAUAAGAUUUUUCUUUUAGAUGUAGCAAUUAAAGUUCAUAAUAAUAUAAUUAUAUUUAAUAUAUAUUAAGAUAUUUCUCCAAUCCAAUUAUUUUAGAAUUAUCAUGGUUAAAAAAAUAUAAUCUUUAGAUAGAUUGAAUUUCUUAUGACCUCAAUUUUUCUUGUAAUUUAAUCCAAAACCUCAAAAGUAAAGUAAAUAAGCCUAAUACAUCCAAACUUUUAUAGGUAUGUGCAAGAACUUUUAUGCAUGUAGCAAAAAAAAAAAGGUCAUCUUUUGCUAUACAUGCCACACCCAUUUUUAAUAGUGGAAAGUCGUCAAGUGGUAUUUUUAGCUAGUAUUAAGAUUUUAAGGAUAUUUUUGAAAAGAAAAAUACAAAUAUUUUUUCAAAGCAUUGAUUGUAUGAUUAUACAAUUGAUAUAUAAGAAGGAGCUCAACCACCAUUUAGAUUGAUCUACAACUUAUUGCAAAAUAAAUUGGCUAUACUAAAUGAAUACAUUGACAACAACUUAGUUAAGAAAUUUAUUUACCAUUUAAAAUCUCCAACAAGAGCUCCUAUCUUAUUGGUGAAGAAAAAAGAUGGAUCUUUGUAGAUGUGCAUAGACUAUUGAGGAGUUAAUAAGAUCACCAUCAAGAUUAGGUAUAUCAUAUUUUUUAUUUCAAGACUUCUUAAUCAACUCAAUCAAAAAAGAUCUACAAAAAAAUAAAUCUAUAAAGAGCAUACAACUAGAUCCACAUUAAAAAAAAAAAAAAAAAUGAAAGAUUGCUUUCCAAACUAGGGAUGGCGUUGUACCACAUGUAUUCUUGCUUAAGAAUGCAUUAGGCACCUUGUUGUGGAAGGUAAGUAGAAAUAAAAGAACAAUCCUAUCAAGUCUAAUAAAAUAUUAAAUAACUUUAAAUAGACCUUAACAAUCUUGAUUAAAUUUUGACUAAUUCAAAAUAAAUUUAAAAGAAUUUAUAAAAAAAAUACAGUAAAUUUUCAAACUAAUCUCAAAGAAAAAUAACAAGAAAUCUUAAAGAAAUAUAAAAAUAAAUCUUUAACGAAAUAAUAACAAUCUUAAAAAAAUAUUAGAAAUAAAAACCUUACAAGAAAUAAUAAAGAAUCCUAAAGAAUUAUUAAAAAUAAAAAUUCUAAUUGAAAUCCUAAUUAAAGACUUAAUUGAACCUAAAUUAAAUUCUAUAUCAAAUUCUAAUAAAAUCCUAAUAAAAUCUUAAAUAUUAGACAAAUCCUAAACAAAUCCUAAUCAAUUCCUAGUCAAGUU